CUGGGAAAACGCAGAGGAGUUUAUACCGGAGAGGUUCGAGGACGGCACGGCUACCUACAAGGGCUCGCGGUUCGAGUACUUGCCGUUCGGCACUGGAAGGAGGAAGUGCCCCGGCGAUACCUUUGGGCUGGCCACACUGGAGCUCGCGGUGACACGGCUCCUCUACUAUUUCGAUUGGAGCCUCCCUGCCGGAACACGGGUAGAUGAGCUCGACAUGGAAACAAGCGUGGGGAUAGCCACGAGGAGGAAGAACCAGCUGCACCUAGUGGCGACCCCUUAUAAGUGUGCUUGCUAGGCAAAUACUAUCUAUGUGCUCUCUUAUGUUCUUUUCCGUACACAAAAAAAAAUCACCGUGGAGUUUUUUUUCCCGAGAAAUAAUCACUGUCGAGUGUAUUUGUAAAUUAAGUUCAUAACCUCUUUAUGCGUGCACAUGGACGGGUGAAUAGCUCAUGUGUGAAGUUUUUGAUGCGAAUUGGAAAGAAUGAAACGUAGUUGCGAUGAUUUACAUGGCAAUAAUAGCCCCUAUACAAUGGGAAUGGUCAUCAACGGGGAACGCAGUUAAGUUAAAAACAGGGAGUCAAACUGAUAAGUGCAUCUGGUGGCGGUCCUCACUUGACAGUGCAUCGAGGUUAACGAUUUCCCGCCCGACUAGACCCGUGCUACUCCCCUGUUUCUGGUUGCUGCUCCCGUCUUCAUUCUCGUCGGCGGCGGCGACGGCGGCAGAGCUUACGUUCACGGUCUCGACGGCGUAUGUGGAAAGUGUAUUCGGCAUUCUAGAGUUGUUCCCCUAAGUCUUGAGUUAGAUCUAACCAAGUGAGCCUUUGUUUUCCACGGGAUCCAGAUUGUGGAGGCGGGUGGGGUGGGGGAGCGGUUGCGGCGUUGGGCUGAACGAGAUGGAGCCGCGAGAGACAACACCGACUAGGUAAUGAUCACCCUUUCUAACCUAUGCGAUGUGUGCCUAGUCUACUUCUGCUGCCUCACGGUGUCCGCCAUUGAUACACAUGGGCGAUGGUGCUCAGGUCUUCGAAUUCACUAUUGAAUUCUUUCCGUCUAAAGUGAAGCUAGUUGAUGGUAGUGUGCGAGACACACAGAGAGAUACAAUUGUGAAAUGAGAGGUUGAAUUUGCAGAAAUUGACCCAUAGAAAAUACAGAGAUGGAAGAGAGGGGCGUGAGGAAAUUUGAGGAGAAAGUUGGGGAGAGCAUUUUUUGGGUCCAGGGUAAGAGGUAUAAUUGUUACUGUUUGAUAANNNNNNNNNNNNNNNNNNNNNNNNNNNNNNNNNNNNNNNNNNNNNNNNNNNNNNNNNNNNNNNNNNNNNNNNNNNNNNNNNNNNNNNNNNNNNNNNNNNNAUUAGUUCAUUGAGUUUAGGAAAGGAUGCCAGUUUGGAACAGUUGGUGGAGCAUGGUGAAACGCGCUCAUUUGGAGUGGCUGAAACAGAAACGUACUCGAGAGCUACUCGUCUUCCUAAAAGCUCUAGCAAUGCAAGACCUGUCCUAAUGCAAUAAAUACCGGUGCUCUCGAACUCAAUCAGCACAGGUACAGGGCCAGGUGCUUCUCCAGCUCUUGGUACCGUCUCUUGUGCCCCACCUGUAUAGCUAGGGUUAAGUAACCCAUUCAGGAGAAGAUAAGAGAAACACCAUCUGGUAAGGUUGGAUCUAUAAAACAACGUUGGUUGACAGAGCUAUCUUGACAUUAUAGGUGGGGUCUUUGGAUAGCAGGUAUGCUGUGUCAGAGAGCAUUGGUGAGAUUAUCCAUCUUAUAACCCCCGUUAGACCGACAGAUGAUAGAUUCCCUUCCAAGCCAUUGAAACCUCGCUUUUCUUAUCUAAAUACAGGUGUUAGAAUACGUUUUUUGAUUGAAUAGGUUCUAUCUGCUUCCAAUCAUUAUCCAUGUGCUUGUGAAUUUAUUAGAAUCCAUUUCAGUAGGACAACAGGGCUCUCGCCUAGCUGAUUCUAAAGUGGAAGCAAUUCAGGUAUCAGCACAUACAGGUACUAAUUCACAUUUCUGUCGCUACCCCGUGGUAUUGGAGCUUGUAGUGAUAAGGAUUUUUAUAAUAGAUAGUUUGUUUUAUCCUUGAAGUAAGAGCACUGAGAAUAGCUUAGCUUUCCAGUCGAAAGAAAGCAUAGAGAACCAUCAAACAAAUACUGGAUGGAGAAUGCACUCUUCGUUGCCCAAAGGAAAGGGUGCAGGUCCAGUAAAUAUCGCCUUUAAAGGGCUAUGUCUAUAGACAGUUCUAACAGAGAACAUAGUAAGCGGAAGGAAUUAGUGCCUUGAUCGCCCUCUUGCUUUUUGUCAAUGGAUCAUGAACAUUUUCUAUUUGUUUUAUUGAUUCAUGCGAAAUGAAAUAUGAAUAUUCGAGUGCUUAGGUAGUAGUUGGCGCGUACUAUAGAUACGCGAAAGAGUACCUGUAUCCUUGCAGGAUUUGGUCCGAAGGUUUGAGUCAGUACGGUGAAGCAUUGAAGGAAUCGAAUGGAAAAAGAGCUUAAAAUAAGGGAUUUUUUAAGCUCUGUAAGUACUAACUAGAUGCGCAGGGCAUCAGAGGCUUACUCAAAUGGAACAUACGAAUCGAACCUUGCUUGACUCUCUUUUUCAUACUUGCCCUCGGGAUCAGUGGUAGAUUCAUAACGUUAUUACUCAUGGGUAGCAGAUGAUGGAUCCAUUUCUGUUGAAGCAGUGGAGUGAAGAGGAGGGUUGGGUCCUGCCUCACAACGAGCCCGGGUAGAUAGAUAGGUAGAUAGUAGAUAGCAGUCCGGAUAGUGAUAAAAUCUGAAAUAAUCUUCUUCUUGAUUGAAAGAAAGCCUGUGCCGGAAAUAGAGAGAGUUCUGCUCUUGGUUGACAUAGAUCGCUCUACUCUCGAAUUGACAUACAUAGAGUUGAAAACACACUCCUCACAAAUGAUCAUAGUUCACUACUAAUGAGCGAGUAACUACUAACGUUACGAGCAAAAAGACGAAUCUACUUGGUUCAUAUCAUAUGUUCCGCUCCGUUGACAGGUUCAUAUAUGUACCUGAUGUUCAUGGAAACAACAGGAUGAUAAUCCGUUGAUGGGAAACUCACUUUGCUAUGCUAGGAAACUGACUAAUGAAACUAACAAGUUCAAGUGCUCUAGUCAAGUAGUAAGCUCCAGUGGGAAGCGCUAGUCCAGAUAGAAAGAAUAGACAGGAGGAUUGCCAGGUUGGUCCGCACAGGUGCAUAUCUGUAGGUUUCAGCACGGGAUUCCAGAUCGUUGGUACCCGAUGUUCAGUUCAUGGGAAUGGGAAUGUAGGAAACUCUCUCUUCCGUCCGGAACAUAUAGAUAGAUUGAUUGCUGUAGCAGCAAGUCAACUAGAUCCAGUGAGGAAUGAGAACCUUUCCGGGGGCAAGGGGGGGGGCGAAGAUACUAGCUACUAUUACUAUUGGCUAUGGAUGUCCUAACACGAACGAAGUCUAUACGAGCAGAGGAAAGCGAAGCGUAUUGGUUGGUUCGGAUUUCAGAGUGCACUGGUUCUAUUCUAACUAGACUCGCAUCAUAAGUUUGCCUGCUUUCAAAUCCCGCGAAAGUACUACUGGCAGCUCCUAUAUGAGGUUGAUGCCACAAAGAUUAUCAUAUCUACAUGAAAGGAAAAUUCAUGGAAAGGAAAAUGAACGUGAUGCACACUAGAAAAGAUACCAAGCAAGAGGAUGUGCGCAACGUCGCGCUCGAAAGUCUUGUCUAUGAAAUCAAACCCUAGUUCCGUGAGGAGGAAGACUCUCUUCGGUCGAGGGAUGGAUGGACUAGUGCCGUAAGGAUGAGUGAUGCUAGAGGGAAGUAGAUCAAUAGGUGCCGCUUGCUUACUACAGUGACAAGGAAAUCAAACAAAGUAGUGGCCAGGCCAGUCUCAAGAAUGGGUGAGUCAAGUAAACUUGCCAGUAUGCCGGGAAGCCGGUAAUGCGAGGGUAUCUCCAGUCGAAAAGGAUGCCGGAUCCAACUAAUACGGCUAUGCUUGAGGAAGAAGAGUGCUCCUACUCCUACUUCAGCUUCUAAGAAUAGGCCCGGUGCUAACUCCACCUUCCGGACUGCCCUUCAUCGGCACGAAAGUAAGAUUGGACAUGAUAGACGGAAGCAGAAUCGAGGCAGUAUCAGUUUCCUGGUUUCGAGGAAGGAAAUGUCCGCGGGGCUCUCUUAUCUUCUUAAAGGAUGAGUGUGUAUACAACCAACCUAUAAUACGUAUUUUCGAGGUUCCUAUGCUAUGGUAUCCAGGUUCCCGCCAGGGAAGGGGAGGUUCCUAUGCUAUGGUAUCCAGGUUCCCGUGAGGGAAGGGAUAGGGUGCCGUGUUUUCCACAGAACAGUCUGGUGGAAUCCAGUGGUAUAUAGAAGCUCUGUGCCCUUCUCUUUCUCCUGCAGCAAUAUGAACUCAAAGGGAUCCUUUCCUACCCGGGACAACUUCAUAGCUCCUACCUUUACUCUUGAUUUGCGCAAGAGUGCUCGUCAGUGAUCUCCAUUCACAAAAGUGGAAAGGAAUGUUCCAUUGCCACGAACAAUAUGGGCUUUCUCAUGGAUUCCCCUUUUUCUUCUACACAUUGUACUAAUAUAAUUGGAUUGGGAAUUCGCAGGAAUGGGUAUUGAGAGGAGGAUCACCAUGGCCAAAACAUCUCUUGUCAGCGACAAACUCUAUGAUUUGCCAAUUCCAAUCGAUUUGCAUAUCAGCAAGCAGGGAUGAGCACAUCUGGAAACCUUGACUUCCUCUGGAUGCGGACCAAUAUAUGCACCGAACUCAGGUCGUGCUUCCAAAAUGUUCAAAAAAUUCUGAAUUUUUUUAACACACUGACACAACCAACAUAGGACGUCACAAAAUUGAAAAACGUAACUCGAAAAACAAAAAUGACAAACUCAACACUGAAUAGUACAUAACAUAACUUGGGCUUUAGAUUUGGCUCAUUAUCACACCGAUGUCAUAUUUUUCAUUUUUACAUCUCAAAAAAUAUUUUGAAUUUUUAUAUGAAAUUCUAUGACAUCAUACAUCGAUGUUGCAUUAACAUGCUAGUUUUUUUAUAGAUUUUUUUAAAAACUUUUUGUGGCAUCCGGUGGGUUCUGCGAGGUGGCUGAUGCGGGAACAGGCCCUGAAGCGAGUCCGCCCAAGUGCUCGGUCGUUUUCUGGCAGGACAGCUCGGUGGCAAUUUGGAAGUAAUUAGGGUACAUUUAUAUUUUCAAACGUUUUCUUUGGAGGGACUAGCCGGAAUCUAAGAUUCUAGGAGAAACCAGGUAUUUUUAUAGAUUCUGAAUUGCACUAGGAUUUUACAGAAUUCGGUCAAGAUUUAAAAAGUUCAAUCCAGUUCUUUUGAUUCCAGAUUUUCGGGGACCGUAUUCUUUAAAAUCUGCUCAAAAGAACUGGCCAUAUUCCAGAUUUUAUGACAUCAUACAUCGAUGUUGCGUUAACAUGCUAGUUUUUUUUAUAGAUUUUUUAAAAACAUUUUAUGUCAUCCGAUGCAUUGGUAGCACCAGAAGUGCGAGCCAGUUCUUUUCACCUGGGAUUCUACAGAAUCAAGAUUAUGGAAAAUUCUCCCAGAAUCUGCUUCUCUCAGAACCAGUCGGCGAGUUCUUUUUGAAGGUUGUAGUUUGAGAUUCUGGAAGUGUUGUGUGUUGAAAUGUCUAUACUACCCUUAGACCAAAGUUGUCUGAUGAAUUGUUAACACUUUAACGUCAACAUCAGCAAGCAUCUAACAAAUUCAAGCAUUAAUCCAUUUAUCUAUCUAUUUGAAACUACUCCCUCCGUCCAUAAAUAAGUGUACAUGUAGAUUAGUACUUAGUCAAACUUUUUAAAAUUUGAUCAACUUUAUAGAAAAUAGUAGCAACAUAUAUGGCAUGAAAAUGAUAUAUUUAGAAACCUCAUGUAAAGACAAAUCUAUUGAUACUAAUUUGAUGUCAUAAAUGUUAGCACUUUUUCAAUAAAGUUAUCAAAGUUUAACAAGUUUGACAGACAAAAAAAAAAUACACUUAUUACCGGACGGAGGGAGUACAUCAUCAUCAAGCAUUUAACAAGUUAAAGCAUUACAGAAUGAAGAACAGAUAAAUGGAAAAAGAGUGGCUCACCAUGAGCGUUGAGGUGCAACGACGGGAGGCCGUCGAGGUGCGCUGGGCGGACAGCGGGGCGGGGCGAAGGCAGCGAAGGAAACCUGGCAGGAGAGGGCAGCGACGACUGGAGCCGCGGGGGGAACCUGGACGACGCCGGGUGCGACGACUUGGCCGAGGACAGCAAGGUGGGUUCGACGGGGGAGAGGUGGGUUCCGCGAGGUGGCCGAUGCGGGAACAGGGCCUGAAGUGAGUCCGCCCGGGUGCUCGGUCGUUUUCUGGCAGGACAGUUCAGUGGCAAUUUGAAGUAAUUAGAAUACAUUUAUAUUUUCAAACGGUUUUUUUUGAAGGGACUAGCCAGAAUCUAAGAUUCCAUGAUUUAAAAAGGUCAAUCCAGUUCUUUUGGAUCAGGGUUUUGGGGGCCGUAUUCUUUAAAAUCUGCUCAAAAGAACUGGCCCAUACUCCCCCGGGCGUCCCUAGUCGACCACCUGCAUUUCCAAAAAAGAAAAAAAAAGAUGCUCGUACCAGAGCAUACUGCGAUCUCCACGAAACCCGUCCGGAUGUCGUCGUCGUAGCGAGGCGUCGGCAAACGGGACGUGGCGCGCGCGCAUCGCCGCCCCCACCCCACACGGGAUCCACCACCAUCCGUCCGUCCGUCCGUCCAUCCGCCUUUCAGACACAAAACAGAACGAAACCAUCCCGAUCGGUCGACCGAUCCAUCCAUCCACACCCUCCGUCCCUCUCCCACCCCACACCACUCCUCUCCUCGGGCAGCCCAGUCGUCGUCGUCGCGACCGAGGACCAGAGACGCGGGCGGGGAGCUCGAGGCGGAGGGACACCAUCAGCAUCAUCGGCAUCGGCGCCGGGUCAGGGGCCAGCAGCGAUGGGCUUCGUCUCCUUCGUCGGGAGGGUGCUGUUCGCGUCCGUCUUCCUCCUCUCCGCCUACCAAGAGUACGUCCACACCCGCACGUCCCUUCCCCCCGUCUCCCCCCCGCCAGAUCUCGUCUCCGGCCGCCUCCCGGGGACCGACGCGCCGCCCGCGUGCGGCCCCUGGCUCCUGCUUGUCGGUGCGACGNNNNNNNNNNNNNNNNNNNNNNNNNNNNNNNNNNNNNNNNNNNNNNNNNNNNNNNNNNNNNNNNNNNNNNNNNNNNNNNNNNNNNNNNNNNNNNNNNNNNNNNNNNNNNNNGACCCGCCGCGGCGAUUCGUAGAGGCAGAUACGCGCACGGGGAGCGCGUGAGGAGGGGUUUCGGAUCAGGCCAGCGGUCCAUUCCAUGCGGAUAGCGUAGCGGCUCGAAGCGCGCGGCUCCUUUGAGUCUGUGAGUGACGAACCCCAUCCGGUCCAGAUGCUUCCUCAGUCCAGCGUCUCCUCUUCCAGAACGCGCACUUUACCCGCCGCUCCUUCAUACUACGAGCUAGCUAGCUUCACUCCGCUGGCAGCUUUGGUUCGAUACCAAGGGCUACGAUGCAUUUGUAUGUCAAAUUUUCCAUGGUAGUACAACAAGUGUUGCGUUGCUCCUUGUGUUAGCCGAGUUAUUUCACCGAUGGCGCAUAGCUAGGUAGCCAUAGCUUCACCCUGCUGGGCCUUUUUAGGCCUUGUGCCGUUGCUUCUCAUUUAACCUCAUUUUACUGGUACCAGCAGAAUUGUUUCCAUAUCAAGGGCCAUGUCAUUGUUUGGAUUUCAUUUUUUAUCUGGUAGUAGUCGUAGUAGUACAGGAAGUGCUGUGUUGGUUCUUAUGCUAGUCCCGUUAUGCUUCUUAUUAGUUGGCUGCACAGGUCAAGUACCGCUCUCUAAUUUCCGAAUAUCUCCAUGCUUCCAAUGUACACCAUGCAGGUUCAGUGAAUUUGGGACCGAUGGAGGCCCAGCAGCAAAGUCUCUGAAGCCAAAGUUCAACCUCUUUGUGAAGCAGGCGUCUGCCAGCGUUGGGAUGGCUGUGCCACACAUUGAUGUAUGGAUAUUUUCUGGUUGCCUGCCCCGUUAUACAUCAUUGUUUUUGUUUUAAGGAUCCGUUCAACUAGUUCCUAGUUUGAUGUUUUUUUUUCCUGUUUACAGAUCAAGACUGUCAUCGCUUUGACAAUGUUUUUUAAAGCAUUUGGUGGUCUCCUUUUCCUCAUCAGUAGCUCCCUUGGAGCGGUCGUACUGGUGCGUACUCUUCUUCUGCAGGCACUAUAUCAAGAAUCAUCUUAUCGUAAGGGGGUAUCAAGAUGCAUACUGUUGCGUCUGCCAUUAAAUGUAGACUUGCAGCACCCUGUCUUUUCAAAUCAAACUAAUAAAAAGGAAGUACUGUUGGCAUGCCAUUUAGGUAGUUUUAAACGUUCUAGUGUGUCCAUUUCACUGGCUGUACAAUGCCAAAUCUGGCAUUGUUGCUGCUUCGAUGUUUGAUCUUCAUACAUUUUGCUUCUGCAAUAUCCUGUUGUAGCAUCUUGACAGUGGAAUGCUUUAACACUAACCUUCCUGAAAGAUUCCAGAUGUGGUGUCAGGUUAUUCUUAUUGUUUAACCACUUGAUAGGCUCAUGUCUGUUGAAUUUGUACAGCUGAUUUUCUGUAGCCAAAGUUAUGUGUUUAUGUUUAUAUUUAUUGUUUGCAUUGUUAUCUAUAUGUGACAGUGCAACAGUUCUUUGAGACAUUAAUCCAUGAUAACUGGGCAUAUCUGUUCAUAUGCUUAUAUAUAAAGAAACCAAAUAUAUAUUCUGUCUUCUUAUACGGAACCAAAUAUAUUUAAUCCAUGUUAAAAUGAUUGUGCAUUUAUUAUGUUAUAGUUUUGAGACAUUAAUCCAUGAUAACUGGGCAUAUCUGUUCAUAUGCUUAUAUAUAAAGAAACCAAAUAUAUAUUCUGUCUUCUUAUACGGAACAAAAUAUAUUUAAUCCAUGUUAAAAUGAUUGUGCAUUUAUUAUGUUAUAGUUUUGCCGUUGCUCUUUCUCCCCCUGUUACUUUUCUUUACUUCUUUUUUGGAACAUGGAAAUACUGAUGUAGCUCACUUGUGCAGCUUGUUUACUUGGCAUUCAUAACACCUGUCGUGUACGACUUCUACAACUACGAGGUCGAGUCACAGCAAUUCGUUAAGCUCUUCACCAUGUUUUCACAGGUUUGUCACACAGAAUCUCACUUGGCGAGAAGCUUCAGCUUUGAACCAUUCCAUCACUAUCUGUCACCAGAUGUUCUAACUCGGAUUCCCCCCCCUCUCUCUCUGCUCAGAACCUCGCUCUCUUCGGCGCGCUGCUCUUCUUCCUGGGAAUGAAGAACUCCAUCCCAAGGAGGCACUCCAAGAGAAGGGCCGCAAAGGCCAAGACAACCUGAAGCCAGGCAAGGGAUCGUGGUAGGAGGGAGGGGAAACUAUCAGUAUGGAAACUCGUCGUGUUUUACGUAUACUUUUGGAGCAGUACAUGUCCCGCUUUUUGCCCAUAGAAUCUGUGAGCUGGGGGCCUGCAGGAUUCGAUAUGUAGGAGUUUUAAGCCGUCUUGCUCAGUUCUGUUUUUCGGUUUUAUCGCGGUGGGUUCUAUGCCUUGGUUCUGUAGUCCUGUGUUUUGCUACAGAAAACUGCUUGUCUCCAUUCAGUAUCAGAGCAUACAUUCUUGACUGCUGUUUCGAGCCGUGCCCUUCUCGAUCCCUAAAUGCAGAGAUGUUUUUUUUAUUUGCGGGAAAAAAAAUGCACAGAUGUUGUGCGUUCUACUCCCUUCGUUCCUAAACAUAAGACCUUUUAAAGAUUGUACUAUAAACUACAUACGGAUGUAUAUAGACAUAUUUUAGAGUAUAGAUUCACUCAUUUUGCUCCGUAUGUAGUCUCCUAGUGAAAUCCCUAAAAUGCCUUAUAUUUUGGAAUGGAGGGAGUAAUAAUUUCUUAUUAUUAGUCAAGAUAAACUUGAUAAGUAGAUGCAUUCAUCAAGGCAAAUUUAGUGAUUUCUGUACGUGGUUGAUCCAUUCCACAGGAUUUUGGUUCGUGUUUGGAGUUUGGACCCAAAAUUUCAUGUGAAUGUUGAGGUAGAGAUAAGUGGUUAAACAAAUGGUAAGAUAAAUACUACUCCCUCCGUUUUUAAAUUUAAGUCUUUCAGAGGUUUCGGGGACUACAUGCAGAUGUAUAUAGACAUGCUUUAGAGUGUAGAUUCAUUUAUUUUGCUCCGUAUCUAGUUCUCUAGUAAAAUCUUUAAAAUGACUUAUAUUUAGAAACGGAGUGAGUAGUCGAUUACAUAAGCUGGGUUAUCAUAAUCUACCACAAUACCAACUCAGGCAAGGCCUGUGCAUGGCGUUAUUCCUCAUACAUAUAUACGGAGUAGUUCUAUGCAUAUGGCAUAACAAACUACUUAAAACUGUUUCCGGCCCAGAAGUAAACAGAGCAUCCAAAACGAAAGAGCAGCACACCAAGCACCCAACACAAUUGCUGCGGCGACUCGACUCGACUCCAAGAUGGCGACGUUCUACUUACAAACUACUCGAAUUUUACAAGGCCGGCACCGGCACAUGUUGUAUCCUGUGCUAUGAUGAUCCAAGCAAAUUCAAAUAGCCGAGAAAAUCGGGCCGAAUUUGGAUUCAAACCGAGCGUCCAACCCAACGCAAUUACAGGAGGAUAGCAAAGGGAAAACCACUUCCGAUAACCAGAUCCGUUGGAUGCCGAUCGGACGGCCGAGUCACCUCCUCCCUCCCCCCUAACCCGCGGCUGGGGAGCACAGCCAAGCCCCCGCUCCGCCGCGAAGAGCCGCCGCCUUCCACUCCGGCGCCCCCCUCCGGCGCGACCUCCAGCCUCCGACGACGACCAGAUGGUGAGCUCCCCUAGCCCCCCCCCNUCCCUCCUUCCCCCUCCGGGCCGCCCGAAUCCGGCGGGCUCGGUUCGCCCCGGGGAGUAAACCCCUGCCGAGAAACCCUAGCGAGUUGCUGCUCACGUUUGUGGUUCUGUGACUUCCGCAGGACUACCUCAAGACGGUGGUGCCGUCGCAGCUCUUGGCCGAGCGCGGCUCCAGCCUCGUCGUCAUCAACCCAGGUGCGCCCCGCCGGAGCGAAUCCCCCAAUCCCCCGCCUGUCCUCUAGAUACGCGCUUUCCUUCCCCUGUUUGUUCCGACGAUUCACGCCUGCUGGAGUCCAAACUGGGUGUAAAAAACAACGUGUUUAGUGUAGUUCGAGCUGAUUUCGCGAGGCUCAAGCCCCCGGCGAAGAUGCAUAGUGUGAAUCAGAAGGUCGAUCUUGUGCGAUGCUACCCGUUGAAAUUCUAGAAGUGAGAUGAAUAUGUGUGAAGCAGGAAUGUCGUCUUCUUAUAUGCCGGUAAUUUUUGCCUUGAGACAUGGUGGUUGUCACCUGACCGAGGACCCUUCCUUUUCGCAGGCUCCAUGAACGUGCGCAUGGGGUUCGCUAGUCAGGACGUGCCGUUCAAUAUACCGCACUGCAUUGCCCGGCACAAGAACGACGCGCCGAAGCUGUCGGUGCGAGACCAGGUGAUGCGAAUGCAGGGGUGGUCCCCCCCCCCCUCCCUCCCCCUCUGCUGGUCCUGUACCUGCAUUGGAACAUCGUUGGCGUAAUCUUCAGUGUAUGACUGUCGUUUUGGUUUGCAGAGGCUCAACUGCCGUGCUGGGUCGACGCACAAUGCAGAGCGGGAGCGGGCGUAUGGUAUUGUAAGAAUCUACUUCUCGCAAUUACUUUGGAUCAUGUGCGCGGCUCGAACUAAUCAGGACUGAGUCUUGCAGAUUGCUUCAAUGCUCAAAAUCCCAUUUUUGGGUGAAGUAUCGCCUUCAGAGAACCAACCAUUACCUCCUAAGGUACUGUGCACAGUCUAUGUGAUGAAUACUUUGCAUACCUGUUUUUGCGACAGUAGGAUAUAUUGCAUUUUGCCAUCCGGGUUAAUCUUUUUAUAUAUUAAUUGGGAAAAGUAUCACCCCAGAUGUAGGCUUUGUCUACUUGAAUUUGAAUAGCGAUGUCCAACUAGUUUAGAGUGUGGGCAAUUUAUUUAUCUUUUCUUACACAUCGAUUACUUAUCAAUAGUUAUUCUUAUGCUUCUCGGGGAGGUGUUUGCUCCAUCUUAUCUGGUUGCACACUGCUAUACUUGGGCAGUUAAAAGGAGAACUAGCUACUUAGAGCAAUUUACCAACAAAACAGUGGCCAUGUGCCACAUCUCACUAAAUUAGUUCUAUUUUUAGAAUGUGAAAAAUGUUUUGUCAGACCGUAAUUAGUUGAUCUGCAGUAUGCUGCACCAUGAUAAUAUUAUGAUAACGAUCCAGUUCACUACGGGACAUACAGCAAGUGGGAGGAAGGGAACUUUGGGACUUGUUUGCCCUAUAGUUUAAGCUUAUUUGAUAAGCUUGUGGCAUUGAGGCUUAUAAGCCGAGUUUACCUAGGAUUUAGGGCUUAAACUAUCAUGAAGUUUGUUGUCAUUAUAGUUUAUAAGUUCAACAUACUACAGUAUGUGGUAAACCUAGCUCAUCCAGCCUCUUCCAAAUUUAUAGAAUUAUGUUUGAAUUACCUAUUGCCUAAGUUUGGAAAUUGUUGCUAUUUCUUGCAAUCUUACAAAUCCUUAUUGAAACAAGUACGCCUGUUUGAUGUGUGCAAUAUAGACAAUGUUCAGGAUAUCGGUAACUGGUACCAUAUCGUCCAGGUGCUGCGUAAGGAUAAAUAGGCGAAUUUUCCAGUUAAUCAGCGAUAAAUCAGUUAAUCAGCUAUUCGGUGACCCACCGAGUAGCGAUAAACUGACCGAGAUGCUGAUUAACUGGCUGAUAUUUGGGAUAAUGAUGUAUUAUAUGAUUUUGCAUCAAUUUCCUUUUGUUUAGAAAGGUCAAAUCAUGGCCUCUGUUUGCUGAUGGGGUUAUAUUGACCACUUCAGAUGGGACGUCUUGAUGGUCUUUCUUCACAGCAAAACAAAGAUGAUAGUAUACUCACAUGGACAGAUGUGAUGGACAAAAGCAUCAAAACAUCCAUGUCAAUUGGUACUUUCUGAUCUUUUACUGAAGUGUACCUUCUUAUUUCCCCCCUUGUCCACUUUGGAGUCUUCUAUUGUUAAUAAAAAGGUUACAGGGUACUUAUGUUUUGGAUACAUUUUUUUUUUGUAGAAGGAAACUGUGUUUGUUUUUUGGUGUGACUUAUAUGUAGCACCUGCCCUCAGUGAGUUGUGGCCUGUGUCACUCAUAUGCAUUGUUGUGAUUGAUUUUGUACCACAUCAGAUUUCUCAUGCGUUUGGACUGCAUAUAUACAAAAAAGGAACGAUCUAGUAAAUCCACAUUAACCUAUUUCUGCGAAUCAUGGAUAAAAGCCUAAGUGAGUUGUUAUGUUUGUCUGUGCUUAUGUGGUGUUGGCGCUUUAGUCUAGACCUUGGAUGUUACAUUAUGACACAAUGAUUUUUUUUGUUUUGUGUGCUGGAGCUAGCUAGCUCUGAAGUUUCGAGGACUGAAAUUCUUAUGUUAGGUUAGCUGUUGCUUUGGUACGAGAUCCACAUAUUUUUUGUCCCGUCUCUUCUUACAUAUGGCAUGUAUCCAUCAGAACGAGAUCUCAUCAAUCACCAUGUUUUGUCUAGCUGCUUUAGAUUGUUCGAUGGGGCAUCAUACUAUUUUAAUUUUUUAAUGGAGUAGUUAUAUCAUGGAUUAUUUUCUCACUGCUUGCUCCUAUAAUCAGAGUUACUUAGUUAUGCUCUGUUCUUUCGGUUAUUAAGUAUUAACAGUAGAUUCAAAGAGCAGUUCUGUACCGCAUUAAAGUGUCAUAUAUUUCGGAGCAUUUUAUAGUAUCAAAAUAUUGACAACCCCUCAAAUUGGCCAGAAAGGUCAGUAAACAGUGACGCCGAUGAAGAUCCUUCACAAAGCACACCCGAUGAUGGUAACAAGCCCAACUCUGAAGAAAACAAGUAUAAGGAAAUGAUAUUUGGAGAGGAUGCUUUGAAGAUCCCUCCUUCUGCACCAUACUGUUUGGGUCGCCCGAUCAGGAGAGGCCAUUUUAAUAUUUCUCAGAAUUAUUCGUUACAUCAGGUAUGCCUCUAGAUUCCAUAUGAUCCUUAUCUUAAAAGAAUCAGCUAGUUAUAGUAAUAAGUGCCGUAACUAAAACCACUACACUUAUUAUGGAUCGGAGGGACUAUUAAACAACUUUGCCCUUUAAAUGGGAAGUUCAGUUUGAGUUCAUUGUCUGAGACUUUCCAUUGUUACACUGUCAGUUCUAUAAAUAUCUAGUAGGGGUGUAUUGUUUUGGCUCCACUGUAAUCAGUAUGGGGAAUGGUAUUUCUUGUAGCAUUGUUUUAUCAAGGGAAAAAUGUUUUGAAUCAGAUUUGUGACAGGAUUUUGGUCAAUCCGGUUGCAAAUAUGUACUGAAAUUUAUGGAAAACAGUAGUUGAGAGGUCUACUGAAAUGUACUGAAGAAGGCAAAUUCUGCCUAUUUCUUUGCGUGCAAAUUUUCCAUCACCCAAUCCUAAACAGAUCUUCAUGAAAAAGCUUCCGCUGCACCCUGCAUUGUCUAAAGGCACCAUAUUUACACGAAAGGGUUUACCUAAUUUUGCACCUACUUCACUGGUAAAACAUAAAAUUGAGCAGUUUAUUCUGCCGGUAAGGCAGUUAUUAAGUUUUAAAUAUAAAGUCUUGUGGUAUAAUAUUUUAGAGUAUCUAUAUUAGCUAAUGGAAUUGAACCAUGAAGUCCUUAUACUAACAACUGUGGAGCUUGGGUUCAAAGUUAAGAACUAAAAUUGUUCCAUAUUACUUGUUAUUCUUUGCCUUUAUAGUUUAUUUAUUUUACUGCAUUUGUUUGCUGCCACUGACGAACCAUAAAGAAAGACUAGGAAUUAGGUCAUGAGUUGUAAUCCUGGCCUACAUAUUAGAAAAUUUACAUUGAAAACACAGCUGGAUUGUUUUUUCUUGGUUGAAAUUGAUGGUAUCUGGCGCAGAAAGUGUUGGAGAAGAGAUGAUGCACAUGAUAACCCUGUGUUUCUAACUGGUUACCAAACCUAUGUGCGUCCAUAUUAUUUUUCCUUAUAUAUAGCAUCAUAAUGGUAGAUGAUUAGGAAAAACAAACAUUGGCCGUUGCAGGUUUUAGAAGAUUUACGAACUAUUUGGAAUUGGAUGCUGAUAGAGAAGUUGCACAUCAACCCAAAGGACAGACAUCUGUAUUCUGCAAUUCUUGUUCUUGGGGAAACAUUUGACAACCGAGGUAUUUCUCUUUUCAUGUAAUACUGCCUGUGAUGUGUAGACGUAUGUCAUGUAGUGCUGCUCAUAUGCGCCGCCGCAAGGCUGAGUAUCCUUUAGGGCUGGUGACAUGAUCCUCAGGUGGAGCAGGAUAUCCUUAGUAAUAAUUAGGUAGUUAGUUCUUAAGUUUGUUCACUUGCCUUAUCCUUGAAAUUUGCUCAAGCUUUCCUCAUCUCCGAAACCUAUAUAUAAGGGAGGCUGCCAUUGUAAUCUCAAGAAACCAUCAUAUUGAAGGACAUUAAUCCAAUCCCAUGGCUGGCCGAUUGUCAUCUUGGCAUGGUAAUUUACACUGAUGUGGAAAAAAGAUCACCUCGUUUUGCUUUACCUUCAAUUUGGAUGUCAACGCUGUAGUUAUCCCACAUAUACAACAGCAAUGAAUACCUUUCACUAUUAUUUUCCCUAAAUUACACGGUACUAAACAGCAGUUGCAGGAAGAAAAAUGCAGAAAUACAUCGUGUAUGUGAAGAUCACAGUUUCCAGCAUUUGACUAGGUGUCAAUGCCAUGUUUUCUGCCAAUACUGAUAUUUAUGUGUAAUUCCUUUUUUCUGAACUCCUAACAACUCAAAUCUGUUCAUUCAACACGAAUUUCAAAUGCUGGGCAGAACACACUUUCCUAGCAACGAGCGAAAUCCACACCGUUAGUUCUUCAAUAGAUUCUUUCAUGAAAUCCAUGACCCAUUACUCCGUUAGUUUAAUAGCCUUGAAUUGAUGAUUCAUAUAGGAAAUCUUGAGUACAUACUGUUUGCUUUAUCUUUUUUCAACACCUUCUACAGUUCUAGUGCAAAGUGUAUGUUCCACUGCAUAAGGAAGUUUUCUUAUUUUUUGAAGUUGUGAUUUUUUUAAUAUAUCCAUCCAUCAGAAAUGAAAGAGAUGCUGUCCAUUGUACUUUGCGAUUUGGGAUUUAGCACUGCAGUGGUACAUCAGGUUCGUCCCCAAUCGUCCAUUUAGCAUUUACUUCCUAUUAAGUUUUGAAUGCACGAUUUGUUUCUCCAUUUGCAAUUGCUAAGCAAAGUAAUUGGACCGUUCAUCCCAAAAUGGAACAUCUUUCCAGCAUACUGGGAUAGUUUCCUCAAUUCUGAGACUGUUGUACUAUGCUAAAUUGCUAACCACUAAGAAGUUGUAUUUACCGAGUGGAGUGCGAUCUGGCAUUAGUACAUGAUGCGGUCGCCUUUAAGGAAUUGCUCUGAUGAAGUAAUUUUACUCGUGCGUCGAUGUCUAUAUUCUUUUUCUUUUUACAUAACUACAUAAUGCUGGCAAGGGGGAGCCCUUCAUCGACAUGGGCCAAUCCAUCACUGUAGAGUGCCAGAACUGUGUGGCCGUGUAGGGUCGCCACUGUAGUGAUGCCAUGUCGAUGCAGUCGUGCCGUCGUGGAUGACGCGGUCGAUGUCGUCGUCGUGGCGCGGUCAUUGCCGCCGUCGGGGUCGCGCCUUGCAGAAAAAUCUGUUAGAGGACGCUAGGUGUCCAUCUUGUGGACGAGGGGUGGCGGCGUGUUGACGAAGAUGUUGAUGAAGACCUUGGCAAUGAAGCGUCGGCGAUGGCGUCGUAGCAGCGUGUCGACGAUAAUGUGCCGCUUGAAGGCGUCCCUUGCGGCGACCAAGUGUCGAUGCGGUGUCGCGUCGGAGAAGUCGAUGAAGAAUUGCAUCACUUUUCACACCGGCCUGACGUGUGGAUGAUGCGUGUUGAUGUGGCUUCUCAAAGAUAUGCUCGACAAAGAUUUUUUUUUCCAAACCAUGUAGUCGUACAGCUCAAUGUCGUGGUGCAGGGUCGGUGUAGAUCGCUCGUCUUGAUGCAGAUGCUACGGAGGACCGUUUGGCCGCGGGUACCGCUCCUGCGUCACCCAUCAAUGCGCGUCAGGAGAAGGCACUUGUGGGAGUCCAAGUCUUGCUGCAUGCAUCUCCUCGUAGGAGAUUGAUUCAUAUGGCCAUGUGCAUGAUGCCUAGAUGGAUACGUUAUCAUGCAUGGGCGUACCUACGCAUGGCUGGAUGAAGGCUCUGCUGGUCGCUUCACAGGAUGUUGUGGCGUUGAUGCAGAUCCGAUGGCAUCCCUGUUGGAGAAGCCGACGGCUACCCUUCUGGAACGCGCUCGCUCGAUGCCUGCUGGUGCGCGACGUACGAUGCCAGCUGAUUGGCGUUGUAGCAUCUCGUCCCCUGGUGAGGCCGUUUGGUUCGACGAUGAACGUCAUGUCCAUUGGCUGGAACGUUGUAGCAUCUCGUCUCUGACGAGGCCGUUGCUUCGAUGAUGAACGUCAUGUCCAGCAGUUUGAAAUCUAUCUGUAAGUGGAUGCAAUCUGGUUGCAUGGGGCUCGCCGCGUACCGGCCGUGGAGUUCCCGGAGACCAUACCUACACCGGCUCGCGUUGAACAGAUUGCUUGGAGGAGCGGCUGCUGCUUGAUGAGCGCGCGUGCCUGGAGGUCGUGUGGGUCGAUGGAGCCGGGUCGUGUAGGCGUGCAGAUGGAGUCUGUGUCGGCCGGGAGAUCCGCGUGCGCGAGUCCGCCCUCCCGUGAUCGGGACACAUGGUCUUCGCUGCUGUUGCCUUGUCCCCGAUGCAAUUUGCAUCGCCUUCACCACAUAAGCCGGGUUGACUGCACGCCGUCAAGGUGGAUUUGCACCGAUUCUCACCGGAUUGAUAGAAGGUCGUGGAGAUCUAGGAAUUUAUAUGUGUGGCUAAAGAAAAGAAAAUUGAUCUAAUGGAAGUUUCGAAAUUUUGGUCUAAUCUAAGGAAGUAUGUAAGCUAGAGGAACCGAUCUAAUCUUUGAUUGAUCCGGUGCCGCGCCCCCGGGGAGAGAAGAUUAAUCUCCCCGGGGGCGGCACGCUGUGGAAGUGGUAGAGGAACCUAGGAUCGGCGUCGUGAGACUAACCGCUCUGAUACCAUGUGGAAAAAUAUAGGAUGGCUGAAUAUUGUUUUGUUGUGUGUUGUAUUGAUCUAACCCUUGUAAGGGUAUAUAUAGGAGUACAUGAGGGGUAGAGGCUUGGAGUACAAGACAAGUUACAUGUGGUUUAAACUAAUUCUAUCUCUAUCUCUUUAUCUCUAACUUAAACCCAAUUAUACUUCUAACAAAGAGUAAAGAGAAACGGCCAUGCUACAACUUGACACUGCUUGCCCGGUGUCAACUAUUCUGGAUUAACACCAUUCAUGAAACCAUUUUGGCAUUCCAUAUUUUGUUAGCAGCUUGGUACCUUAAAUCAGGUACUCAUGAAACCAUUCAUGCUAUUGGGUUAAUACUAAUAUUUUGCACCUAAAGGCUGGAUUUUAACUUUCAUGUUUUAAAUUUGGUGUGCUGUACACUUGGAGUUGGCCCAUUUCUGGAGUUGUUCUCAUGCUGGUUGCCUGUUUCUAAUUUUAGCUUAUCUCUACUAAUAUACUACUAUAGUACCAUUUGACAGUUAAGUUUAAUGUAAUAUUACUAAUGAGAAACUAGAACUUGAUACCUUCAUUUUGGUUGAUAUAGUCCACUUUUCAGACUCUUAGACUUUUUUUUAAUCUAGAAUACCUUUCCAGACUAUUGACUUGUAGAGACAUAACCAAGCUCUUGUAUUUGAUGAUUCACAAAUUGAAACAUGAAGAAAAUUGAGCUUCCUUAUUUACUCUGCUUAUGUUAAUAUUUAAUUAGGAAGCUCUAGCAGCGGCAUUUGGGAAUGGGUUGUCGACAGCUUGUGUGGUCAACAUUGGUGCUCAAGUUACACAAGUAGUUUGUGUUGAGGUAAUAACCAUAGUACUUCUAUAUUUCUUUCAAACCACUAAGAAAUUUAGAUAUUAUCAUAUUAAUGUAUGAUCUACCCUAAAUGUUUCCAGGAUGGAGUAGCUUUACCCCACACAGCUUUGGCGCUCCCAUAUGGUGGAGAUGUAUGUUCUCAACUGUUCUCUUUAACGUAGACAAAUAUAUUUCUGUUACUUGAGCAAUCUGUUGUUCAUGGUCAUUACAUCUGUAUAAUUUCGUUUCAUGGUAGAAAUCUGCUAUUCUAUUUUUUCAAGUUAUUAUCUACUAUCAUGCACCCAGUCCAUUUUUCUCUGUCAGAACAACAAAUCUUUGUUAGGUUUCGUCUCAUGUGACUGUUGUGUACAAACUUUAUGUCAUGCCACUUUUUUCCCGAUCGGAAGAUAUGCAUAUUUUAGUUCUUUCAUCAUGUUCUUAGUAUAAUAGUAUCAUCUUACAAAUACGAGCAACAAUCUAUUCCUUUCGAGUAGUUUCUCAGUUGAGAUUUGGCUGUACUUUGGUUUUGAAAAAUUAUGCCACUGACAUUGCAAAGGUACGGAGAGUAUCAUGACAACCAGAACUCGUUGGCAGUGCACUUGGCACAACAAGUCGUUUAUGGGGGGCCUGAAUCCUUAAGUGGCAAUGAGAGGGAGGGAAGGCCCCGAGAGUAUAUGAGCGUGGGUGGGUGUCAGGGGUAGAUUUGGCUUUAAUAUGAGAAGUGGCUGAACCAUUACAUUGACAAUAUUUCCGAUGUUUUUUGGGACUUUCUGAUGACACUGAUUUUCUAAGGGCAACCUCAAUGGAAUAUUUCUGUUAAUAUCAGUCAUUGUGAUGUCACCUUAGUUAUAACAUGAUUGCUGGGUGGUAUUGUCGUCAGUUGUCAAGUGCUCUUUUUACGGAGGAUCUCCCUCGAGGCUACAGGAUAGAUAGUCUGAUGAUCAUAUUCCCACUUUACUUUGUAUAAUUGCAUGACUUGCUUUUAUGGUUUUUGAACGUCAAUUGCUUGUGAUCUAUAUUAUUAUUUGAGAGUGGAUUUUUAGCUCCCGGGUGCCUAGGCACCCUCUAUGAACAGUAAAAUCGAAAAAAUAGAAAUCAAAAUCAAAAAAUUCUGAAACUUUGCAGCAUCAAUGAUGAUGAAACUUUGUAGGUGUUUGCAAAUUUUCAUGCCAAAAAACUAUUCGUGGAGCUCUACACACGAAAAAGAUUUCAGUGCUUGAAGUUUUGAGCACUUUUAGCAUCAAAAUCUGAAACUUGUUUGUACAUAUUUCUCUACAAGAUAUUUUGGCAUGAUAAUUUGCAAAAAUGUACAAAGUUUGAUCAUCUUUGAUGCUGCAAAGUUUCAGAUUUUUUUAUUUAUUUUGUUUUCUAUUUCUUUUGAUUUUACUGUUCAUAGAAGGUGCCUAGGCACCUGGGUGCUGUCACACCUUUCUCUUAUUAUUUUUAUUAUGUUUCCUUUUGUUACAUCCUUUGCUAUUUUCAUUUUCUUUUGUAGGACAUAUCCAGAUGCCUACUUUGGGUUCAACAACGUCAUCGCACAUGGCCAAAUUUUAAAACCGAUCCCAUGAAGAAGCCUAUAGAUAUGCUAAUGCUGAACAAGAUAAAAGAGGGAUAUAGCCAAAUAAGGGUAAGUGGCUUACUCUAAGCUUUACUAAAUCUUGAUAGCUCGUAUCUGUAAAGGAUUUGAUUGUUGGACAGUCUGCUUAUGUUUUAUUUUGAAAGUUUCCCUGUGGAAAGAAAGAUUUGUGUCGUCCGCGCAAAGAUCAUUAUAGCACUGUUGUACAUUGAUUAAUUUCACCUGAAACUGUAUACAAAGAGGAUAAAUUGCAAUAACAUAUGCAUCUCCUUUCGUGCGAAUCAUUUAUACACAUUUUCUCCAGUGCAUGGGACUAGAGCACUUCUAGAAUCAAUACGUUCAUAAGCGGAAACCUUUUCUCUAAAUCUCUUUGUGUAUGAGCGCUGCCCUAUCUUGUCAAAGCAUAGUAAAUUAGUAGCCGACCUUGUGGCAUUCAUACAUGGGGCAUAGGAAGAUGAAUAAUCUAAGAUGACUUGAUAGCAUUGGAUUAUAAUUUGCCGAUGAUAUUGGGCAUAUCCCCUGUUUCUUAUUUAUGUGUAGGUCGCUGAAUCCUCUAGGAAGACCAAGAGAUCUGGUUGGAGCUAUCCUAUUUGCCUAAGUGCUGCUCAUGUGCAUUUGUUUUUAGUGUUGCUACCUUUCCAUUUUCAGAUCCUUCCUUGUUGUCCUCUUAGUCAUGAAGAAAUACAUUUACAUAAGUUUCAUAUAUUUACAUAUUAUAUAUACCAACACAGUUUGUGUGUGUUGAACAAAAUGCAAAUGGACAAAAGACAAAACUAGUAUAUGUAGAAACCAGAAAGAACUGGAGUCUUUUAGUGGAUGCUUGAACCCAUAACAUCCUACCUACUCUGAACUUUAUUUUUCUUAAUUCUUAAGCUGAAAUGAUUAUUUUUUGUUGAAGUAGAAUGCUUCCCUUGAACUUAUUCUAGUAUUUUUCUUUUCCGCAGAGCGGGAGCUAUGAUGCUGUUUCUGUUGUUCAUUCAUAUGAGCAUGAAAAGUCUGUUGGGCAUCAGAAGACAAGGCUGUCAGCUCUCAGUGUAAUUUUUUUAAACCACUUAUUCUCUUCUUCUUUUGUCUAUUUUUUGGGCUGAGGGUGUGUUUUGAAAAAGUGCAUGACUUUUUUUGUACUUCCUCCAUCUCGGUUUAUAAGGCAUGCGCGUCGUUCUAGGUUGACAAUUUAACUAGCUAAAUAUGUACUCCCUCCGUCCCAAAAUAAGUGACUCAAAUUUGCACUAAUUUUAGUACAACGUUGAGUCAUUUUUGAGUCACUUAUUUUGGGACGGAGAGAGUAUUAUAUUUGAUGAAAAAUAUAUGUUUAGAAACUACAUCUUCUUAAGAAUCCAAUGAUAUACUUUUGGUGAAAUAUAAGAUAUAACUCAUAUUUAGCUAGUCAAAUUGAUGACCUAGAACUGAGCGCAUGCCCUGUAAACCGAGACGGAGGGCGUAUCUAUUUCUUCUAGCAAAAAAGUAAGACAUGCAGGCACUCUCCCUCCCUCCCUCGCCCCUUCACUCUCUAUUAGUAAAAUCUGUAGUGGUGAUUGAGUUGUAGUUGGAGAGUAAUUAUAUGCUGUAGGUGAUAUAUCUACAAAUUCAAAUUUGUUUGUGAUAAAAUAGGUUCCUCCUAUGGGGCUUCUUUAUCCUCGGCUUCUCAUUCCAGAAGAGUUCCCUCCACCUCCCCGACCUUGGUGAGACUUUGUUCUCUGCUUUAGUGAUUGUGCCCUUUGAUAUGGUGAUUGCUCCAGACAAGAUAUGUUUAUGUUUACAGGUUCCAAGAUUGUGAUGACAUGCUGGAGGAUACUUGGCAAACAAACGACGGUCUUUCUGGAAAUGGUGGUCUUGGUGCAUGGGACAGUUAUCAAAUGCUUCCCACCAGAGUAAAGAAGUUUGAUAAUAUCGGUCUCGUAGAAGCCAUUGUCAGCAGUGUUCUUUCAACAGGUAGUCUCUUUGCACAUUAUCUAGCUUCCCUGAGAGAAUCUUUUCUAACAACUUCCUACAACAGGACGUGUUGACCUCCAAAGGAAGCUAUUCUGUAGUAUUCAGCUGGUAAAGUAUCAGUGUCGUUUUUCAUAUCAAUAUUGCUCUAUGAUGCAAGAAGCAAUAAUUGAGAGGAAUGCUCUUUGCAGGUUGGUGGCACAGCUUCAACAGCAGGUCUUGCACCAGUUCUCGAACAAAGGUUAAUUGUUACGUUCUUCUGGCAUUAUUUAACGGAAGACUACUGGAAUAACUGCGCUAAGGAAUAGAAGUGUGCCACCCUAUGUAGCUACAAGUGUGCCAAGCAAUUGUUCUGAUCCUUUUUGCAUUUACUAGUUAUUAUUAACAAGUGUUUGUUGAAAGAUUUUUUGUAAAGAUGAAUAGCACAGAGCUGCUGCAAGCCUGCAAUAAAAAAAGUGCCAAUGUGGCUCCUGUGUUUUUGGAGAAAAUACUAAUGACACUUGGAUUUUGUUUCAACAUAAUGUCUUGGAAACGAACAAUAAAUUUAUUGAUCUAUUUUUCUUUUCUUUUUGAUCAGGGUUCUUAAUACUAUUCCAUCGAAUCAACCCGUCGAGAAAGUUGAGGUAUGUCUUCUUGCAAGGAUAUGCAUCCAUAUCUUUUUAUAAAUUAGAAUGCACACUCCAUUUCUUGAAAUUAACAUACCUGGAUUGAUUGUGUGAGGUUUAUAUCUCAGUUUUACAUUAUACCGUAAUUUAGACUCGUGAUUUAUUUGUCUUGGCUUAACAUCUCAUUUUAAAUUCAUAGGUACUACAAUCAAGGAGGAAUCCAUUGUUUAUCCCAUGGAAAGGUGGUGUGGUAAGUGCUAUUUAUUUUGAAUUUGGCUAUCAUUUGUUGAAGCUGGUGUGUCUUGCUCAUUCCUUUAUGUCUGUCCUUUCUUGUGCUCUUAUAUUUCGGGUCCCUAAAUCCUACUUUACGCUUGGACAGAUUUUGGGCGUCCUUGAUACUAGCCGUGAUGCUUGGAUCCAUAGAGAAGAUUGGAUUAAAAAUGGCGUUCACGUUGGGAGUGGCAGAAAAUAUAAGGAUUCCUAUUUUCUUCAGUCGCAACUGAUGUGUUACUACAAUUCAUAAUAGGUAAUCUUUCUUAUUGCCUGCUCAGUUUCUCCAGAUUGUAUCGUUGCAUCUUCAUAUAGUGUUAGUGUGUUAAUAUGGAUGUCAGGAUAUGUAUAUUGGAUGGUCUGCCCUUUUUUUCUGUAAGAUGCACACUUAAUAAAAAGUUAUUGUAUAAUUGAAGGUCCGGUCCUAAGAGUCUGAAUAUCAAAUGAGCAUUGAGACACGGGAUGUGAACAUAUCUGCUUUUUUUCUUCUUAAAUUUUUUGAAGCUUUUAGUUGAAAUGGUUAUCGUGCAAGCUAUCUAUCUACUGCCAAAUUAUAAGACACAUAAUUUGCAUUUUAUUCUGUAGGUGGUCUGCGUAGGUGUCGACUAUCUUGAGCUGCAAUUGUCGGUGUAAUCUCGGAUAGUUGAGCAAGGCGGAACUUCAUCUAUGUCGAGGUUUGUCAAGGGACAUGGAGAAGAGAUUUAGAUGAUGAAGGCCCGUCUUCUGCCUACCCUUUCAUUCAGAACUAGAAAUGGCUAGUAAAAUACAUGGAGAUGAGAUUCAUAGAUUUAGUGGUGCCAUGUAAACACAUUCUCUAGUUUCAGGGUGAUUUACUACCUGUAACUUGUAAAUGGGGGAUCAUUAGUAAAACACAAAGCCUCUUGAUGCUGUUCCGGAUUAUCUAACAGUAUUAAUGACUGUUCAGCCAGAUUAAUUAUUUGUUCUGAGAAGGCAAAUAUGUGCACCGGAUUAAUUAAACAUCUCCUGUUUGCAUUUGUACACUUAAUCAUGUGGUUGCAAUUUUAACCUUACUGCCAGAGGCAGCCUGACCACAUGAUCUAGGCUGCCAGUCUCUGACGCCCUGCUCACAAUCAGCGCGAAGUGUAGCAUGGGCUCGUUGGCACUGAUCAUGCUCCAGGCCGCCCAUAUCUGGUCGCCGGGCGUGAGCACGUUCGUCGGCGUGGACUCUGGCAUCGACCUCGUCCGGGUACAUUGCCUUGUACACGGCUAAUCUGAGUAUAUAGAAGCGAGAACAAAAUGUAGCUAUUCCAAAUUGUGUUAAAUUGCAACAUUGUAGCGGUGAACAAAACUCAAGUUGCAGUUGGCAUUGAGGUAGAUUACAAUUUCCAUUUUGAGUAUAUGUAUGUCUUUACCUUGCACUUGGUGCCAUUCCGCUUGCGAAGCCAUACAUUGCGCCACCGGUACCCCACGGCAAUCGAAGCCACAUGGCUACAAUAAUAAUUCAGACCACUUAUGUCAUUGUAUCAGUCUUGAGAAAUCAAGAAUGCGCGUGUUAAUCAAGAUGAAGGAUCUAUUUCCCGCAAAAAAAAAGAUGAAGGAUCAAAGCAUAACAUCAAAGUCGUUUUUCUUGCACACAUUUUUCCCAUACCACCAACAUUUAGCAGAGUUCGACUGUCAUAAGGAUAUCCAAACAUAAGAUCCGGUUCAAACAUAAAAGGCAAGUCUCUAAACGUCAGUGCCGCCUAAUGCUAAUGGAGAAUGCACUCUGGUGGGCAUGGCUAUCUGGCAGCGCCUGAAGAUCAAUUCUGACGGUACAAUGACAUAAGUACAAGGUAAAUUACGUGAUGCCGCCUCAAGAUAGCCCUGUCCGCUGUCGAUCAAUUCCGAUCAUCACGUCAAGUUUCAUUUGAACACUUUCAGAAUAUAGUACCCGCUUUCAGAAAAUUCUUGCCAUAGCUUUCAGAAUUUGAAACUUAGACAAUUAUCAAAACUUUUGGAGUUAUAUAUAUUUUUAACAAUAUAAGUUAUGGAAUUUUGACUUCACUAUAUUUUGAACUUGCAGAAUUUUGAGAAUUCAGAAAAGAGAUGCCCUCCCCGCUGCCGCCGCCAUCGUGUUUAUGCCGCCACACGCGGUCGGGGAGGCCGAGGAGCACUAGUAGAAAAUGAGGCUUUCGGCCGCAGCCCCAAAUCACAUUAGCCCUGGGUCGAAAUAAAACCGAGAUCAAUGCCAGGCAUUGGUCCCGGUUCGAGCUGCCAGAGCCUCGCGGGGCAAAAGUCCUGGUUUGGUUCGAGGCAUUAGUCCCGGUUCGUGCCAAAAAUCAGGACUAAAGAUCCAGCAACUGAUACGUGGCGUGUCGCGGAGCAUUACUCCCGUUAGGGGGAUGGAACCGGGACUAAAGAGAUGCCCACUUUCUCCUCUCUGGCUGUGUGAGGUGUGCAUGCCAUGCUCUUGCAACCCUUCUAUGCCAUGCACAUGAGGUGUUCGAUGAAAUGUCCGAGACACACUUAAGCUUUCUCCUCUCCAAGCUCGACAUCUUCAAGCUCCAUUUUCCUCAAGAUUUGUCUAGGUUUGACGGUGCACCAACUACACAAGUGUUCUAAAGGUUAGCUACUUCAUCCUUUCAUCUCUCACUGCUAGUUUAGCUCAUUUCAAAUGCUCUAGAAGUAGACUGGUUUGUGGAUUUUAGUGUAGGUGUGUAUGUGGGAGUUCUUUUGAUUUAGAUGCAAAAUUUGAGCCCAAAUUAACUUUUUAGAGUCUGCACAUGUGUAGGGUGCCGUCCCGUGCCUGUCCUCACCGUUGUCGAUCGCCCGCGCCGAUCUCGUUGCCAGCACCACCAUGGUGAGCCUCUUGUUCUUAUCUUCUUUUUAAAAGAUUUUUUUUCUUAUUUGUAUGAUUUAGACAAAUACUUGUAUAAAUUACUUAUUAUUAUUAUUUUUUGUUAUUAUAUAGUGCGAUGGUUUUGGUAUUCGCCUCCAUCGGUCCUCGUCCUGUCUAUGAUUCGGAUGUGGUAUAUAUUAUCUUUUAUAACUAUUUGUUUUAUUUAGUGUUUAUGACAAUUAUGACGACCAACGUGACAUAUAUUUUUUAAUCUAGGAGGUAUGUGAACCGGAAAUUCCAACCGACAUAGAAAUUCUUGUCGAGAAGUUAAAUUUGGUUGAAAAAGAAAAUAAUUACUUGAAGAAAAAAUUGAAAAUAAUUGAGGAGAAGAAUAUGGAAGUGAAGUUGCAUGUUGCCGAUGUCGUCGAUGAUCACAAGAUGAAGAUGGAUGCAAUGCGGUUGAAGAUGAAUGCAAUGCGCUUGAAGAUUAGAAAUAUUAGAAAAUAUGCCAUUGAUAAAGAGACUUGGUAUCAUUGUGUGGGUCAAUUGUUACCUUAGUUGCGAUUUUGAUCGCAUUUGUUGUUGCAUUUAAAUGUUUUACAUAGUUGUAUGUUGUUUUAUGAGAGAACUUUAUGUAUUUAUUUUUGAAAUAAUAACAUUUGAUUACUACUGUACUUUGGUUUUAAUGUGAUGAUGAACUUGUAUAAAUUUUAUCAUUUCUCAAUUCAUGAUGUUCUGCAAUGGUUUUUUGAUAUACUUAAUUUCAUAAUACAGAUGAAUCGCCAAUGAAUGUACGGUGACCGGCGCACUUCGAAGUACAUUACGAAUCGGGAGUAAUGCCCGAGUCACACUUAAGUUCACAAAAAUGGUAUCCUUGAACGAUGUUAGCAACCUUAUCCUUUUCAUCUGUAAUUGAUACAAAAAUAUUGCAUGUGUCCAUGUACAGUGGUCAUUUUACUAUUCAUGUAUGAUGCAGAUCGAUGCAUGGAAGCGAUGGAUGUACGGUGAACGGCGCGGUUCCGGAUUUAUUGCAGGUCUGCAUAAAUUUAUCGAUGUGGCUAAGGCAAACAAAGUGAAUAAUUUUAUGCCUUGUCCAUGUGUUGACUGUCGAAACGUGAAGGAGUACUCUAGCUCGAAAACCAUUCAAGGCCACGGGCUUCGGAGAGGUUUCAUGCCCACAUAUUAUUGUUAGACCAUGCACGGAGAAAAAAGGGUUAGGAUUGAAGACAAUGAAGAAGAUGAUGAUGACAACUAUCCUAUGUUCACUGAAGAAUACGAUGAUGCUGCAAUGGAAGACAAUGAAGAAGAAGGAGGUGAAGAACAACCGACAUCAGAUGAGCCCGCUGAUGGUCUUGGUCGGGUCAUUUCUGAUGAAAAGAUACAAUGCGAUACAUACAAGGAGAAGCUGAAGUUGAAGGCCAUGCUAAAGGAUCAUAACAAGUUGCUGUACCCAAAUUGCGAAGAUGGCAGCACAAAGCUCGGUACCACACUGAAACUGUUGAAAUGGAAGGAAGAAACUGGUUUAUUUGACAAGGGAUUUGAGAAGUUACUGAAAAUAUUGAAGCCGAAGCUUCCAAAUUAUAACGAAUUGCCCAAGACUACGUACGAAGCAAAGAAGGCUAUCUUCCCUCUUGGAUUAGAUGUGCAGAAGAUAUAUGCAUGCAUUAAUGACUGCAUCCUGUACCGCGAUGAGAAGUACGAGAAUAUGGACAAAUGCCCGAUAUGCACUGCAUGUCGGUACAAGAUCAGACAAGAUGACCCUGGUGAUGUUGAGGGCGAUGACGAGCCCCCCAGGAAGAAGGUUCCUGCUAAGGUUAUGUGGUAUGCUCCUAUAAUACCACGGUUGAAACGUCUGUUCAGAAACAAUGACCAUGCCAAGUUGAUGCAGUGGCACAAAGACGAGCGUAAGAAAGACGGGAAGUUGAGACACCUCGCACAUGGGUCGGAGUGGAGGAAAAUUGAGAGGGAGUGGCCGGACUUUGCAGAAGACCCAAGAAACUUAUGGCUUGGUCUAAGUACAGACGACAUGAAAUUGACCUACGAGCAUUGUUGUUCGUAACCAUCAAUGAUUGGCCUGCUCUUAGUAACAUUUCAAGACAUUCAAACAAGGGAUACAAUGCAUGCACGCACUGUUUAGAUAAAACUAAAGGUACAUAUUUGGAAAAAAUCUAAGAAGGUUGUCUACCUGGGUGUCGUCAAUUUCUUCCGACCAAUCAUCCCGUAAGAAAGAAAGGCAAGCAUUUCAACGGUGAAGCAGAUCACCGGAAGAAGCCUAACCUCCCUACUAGUGAUGAGUUAUUGGCUAUGGUCAAGGAUUUGGAUCAAAUAGUAAUCUUUGGAAAGGGUCCUGGCGGUCAAUCUGUUUCGAAAGACGACGUUACCGGACACGUGCCCAUGUGGAAAAAUAAAUCUUUAUUUUGGGAGCUAGCCUAUUGGAAACACCUAGAGGUCCGGUCUUCAAUCAACGUGAUGCACGUGACGAAGAAUCUUUGCGUGAACCUGCUAGGCUUCCUGGGCGUGUAUGAGAAGACAAAAGAUACAAGCGAAGCACGGGAGGAGGAAGCAACGUAUGAAAGACCCAUACGACAAGAAGACUGAUAAAGGACGUCAAUACUUAAGCAGCUACGCUCUUACCAAAGCAGAGAAGGAAAUCUUUUUUGUAUGCCUAAGCAGUAUGAAGGUCCCGCGUGCGUGAAAAUGCUGAAUACCCUUGCAGAUCCACCGCCUCCGUUGCCAGCAAACUAUGAACGCUCUAUUCUCAAGUCGGUUGAGGCAAAAAAGUAGUGGUUGAAGAGUAGUACGUCCAGUGGGAAAUCAGUUGCCCAGCUCGGACAACAGAAAAACCAAUCGUGCCCCCGCUCAAAGUGUAUUCCAAUACAAAGGUGUGCUCGAGCGUAGCUGCGGUCGAGCAGAGGAAUGAUGAAACAACUGGUAUCGAUCCGGAGUUUGUUGCACUAUACGGAGAAGCGGCCAAGGCUCAUGACAUGUCUAUUGAUCGGUACUUAAACCAUACACAUGAAUUCACUGACGUAACAUACAUGUACCGGCAUGGGUCUCCUCUCGUCAAACCUGAGUUAGUCAACGAGCUACCAACAAAAAUGCGAAGAUUGCAUGACUGGUACAUGCGAGCAUCUGCUGAACAACAAAGCUGGAUCUACUGUGCAUAUAAAAACGAGCAUUACGGUCAUGGAGAAGGCGUGCUAAUGAUUGAAUUUGACGAAUUAUUUCAGUUAUAUAAACAAGACGACCUCGACAAAUCUAUCAUUAGUACCUAUUGUUUGUAAGUAUUAUUAAUUUAUAUCAUUAAGUCUUACUCAGCUCGUUCAUUGCAUGUAUAAUCUUACUCAUCACUAUAUUAAUUUUGCAGAAUGAAGAUUCUCGAAUGCAAAAGAGGACGAAUCUAUGACAUUGAGUUCAUUGACCCAUAUUUCAUUCAUGACAAAAGUCUCGCAGUGGAUCCCCGCGAGACAGAGAAUAACUUGGUACAAGGGUUAAGGUUUUCCGCUACCAAAAGAGAAAUAUUAUUUCCUUACAACUUCAAGUGAGUGUUACUACACACAUUCUAUUUUUGCUUACUCGAUGUUAUUAAGUGUAUAAUUGACUUGUUAUGCGUGCGCAGGUUCCACUUUAUUCUGUUAAUCAUUCUACCUGACAAGGGACUAGUAAAAGUCAUGGACCCGAAACACACACCCCUCGAUGAUUGGGAGAACAUGCAGGAAUGCCUCCAGAGGUAAUUUCAAUGAUUAUGGCACUAUAUCGGCAACUUCUAGUUCAUUUCCUGAUAGCAAGUAAUUAAUAUAGAACUCCUUUAUUCAUUUCCUUUUCUUGACAGGGUUUGGAAACGGUUCACCACCAAGUGUCGGGGUGUUUGGAAGCCAGAGCUUACAUUUAAACAAAUGGAUAUAAGUAACUACUAGCUAGAUCCGCGCAUCUCUUUAUUCUAGUUUCAAUACCAUUAUCAUUCUUGAUUAUGUUUUUGGUUGAACUCUGUUCUCGUAAAGUGCUUGAAGCAGGAACAUGGGAGCAAUUUAUGUGGAUACUAUGCUUGCGAGUUCAUUCGCUAGACGACCCAUGAAACGGGCAAAAAUCGAGACAUAAAAAAAUUUGAAGUACGAUAAACAAUACUCACAACUUUAUUUUAUUACCGUCAAUUGUGUUCGGUUUCAUUGAUAUAUAUUGACCCCUUCUUUAAAUUAGAUCGAACGGUUGCGGGACGGUCUUCUACCACAAGAACGUGCACGAGCAAUUCAAAAGGAAAUUGUCGGAUUCUUAGAUGCAGAGGUCCUAGAUGUGAAGGGAGAAUACGAUUGCCCGUGGAUGCAAUUCAUAUGAAAUGUUAGUGUAAAAAAGAUGCAUAUGUGUAUGUAACUCGUGCCUACAUUUUGUAAUAUGUUCGACAAAGCACGACGGAUAAGAUGGUGUAAUAUAUUCAUGACGAUGAUGUGCAAUAUAGUUGUUCCUUUAUUGCUGUGUAUGCACCAUCCAAUUUAAUGCAAAACAAGAAUUAAAAGUGUUCAAAACAAAUAAAUGGGAAAAUAGAGGGCAGGAAAAUAGCCCCAUCCAAUUUAGUGUAAAAUCCUAAACCCUAAAAAAUGCUAAAAAAGAUAGCGAAGCAAUAGACCCGGUUCGCAAUAAGAACCGGGACUAAUACCCCUCCCCCUCGCUUCCAGCCCCGCCACGUGGAGGACCAUUAGCCCUGGUUUGGGACCGAACCGGGGCUAGCAUUAGUCCCGUUUUGUUAGUCCCGGUUCGUUAACCGGGGCUAAUGGCCCAAAUGAACCGGGGCUAUAACCCCGUUUUCUAUUAGUGAAGACACGACAUGUAGGUGGUCAUGAGCCUGGUCCCGGUGUCCUCCUCCAGGGCCGCCACCUCGGGCGCCGCCUUCAGCCUCUUGGCUGCCCCGGAUGCCGCUGCCGCAUGGAUCGCGAAGCCAUUCAUGGCAUGGUGGAAUCACAGCCCAUCUUCCUAAUGAUGGAUGCCUGCUUUUUACUCCCUCCGUUCCUAAAUAUAGGUCUUUUUAAAGGUUCUUCUAAUGGAUUACAUACGGAUGUAUAUAGACAUAUUUUAGAUUGUAGAUUCACUCAUUUUACUUCGUAUGUAGACUCCUAGUAAAAUCUCUUAAAAGACUUAUAUUUAAAAACGAAGGGAGUAUUAAUUAAAUUGAUUGUUUUUUACGGGUCUUGUUGUUCCUUUGGUCUUAAAAUUUCUUGUGCUCUCAAAAUAGACCAUUACAUGACACGUGUCAUAAAUUGGCAGUUUGGUUAUGACUUUGUCGAGUGGCAGACGAACGUCGGUUAACGAGAGUUGCUCGAGCUGCCUAUUUGAGUUAAACCGUGUUCCGCAUCUCGACAAUGUGCACCAGCUUGCCGAGUAUUAACGCUCGACAAAGACCUGAAUGAACCAACUACACUAGUGGGGACGGGGCCUUUAGCCCCGGCUUGUAAGGGGCUUUAGUCCCCAUUCACCAACCGGGACUAAAGGGGCGGGACUAAAGGCCUAACCGUUAGUCCCGACCAUGUUACAAGUCGGGACUAAAGGUGCUCCACGUGGGCGCCUCGUAGCGCCCCAGGGGCAGGCCCUUUAGUCCCGGUUCGUUACACGGACCGGGACUAAAGAGUUUCAGAUUUUGCUUAUUUUUGGGUUUUUUUUGAAUGAAAUUAUUUUUGGGUUUUAGGGUUUUAGGGUUUAGGUGUUCGGAAGAUUAACGUGAUGCCUCAUUUGGUGUUCGGGAAUUAGUUUUCAUAUAAUUUAAAUAGAAAUAAUUAUGCAUAUAUGUAUAAGAUUAACUUAUCUUACAAGCGAGCAUAUAUAUACAAUUAUAUGCAGAUCUGAAUUAUCGGGACUAGAGCCCGUCUAUUCGAUUACAUGGACGAACAUCAGUAAUGGCCCCCUAGCUACACUAAAUUCUCCAUUGUCAUCUAUAGCUUCCGUCCUCAGAAAGGUCGCAAGCUCCUCUGCAACAGCAAUCACGCGUUGCUCUGGUAGGACCUUCGUCCUCAUGGCCGUGUACUAUAUAAGAAGAGGAGAUGAAUAUGAAUAUCAAUCAUGAUAACAAAGAAUGACGGGUAAAAAUAGAGGUGUGAAUGUUCAUUGCUUACGUCGAAUCUGUGAUCCUUGUGCUCAGAGGUAAACAUGCAAAUGGUCUCGCAAACAUAGUAUCCGCAUAGAUGCGUUCCCCGUGGCUGCUGGUCGCACUUUACGAGAAUAAAAUAUAUAUAAUCAAAAUAAUAAUCUAGCAUCAUAGAUGUAUUGAAAAUAGAAGUAUAUAAUACUACUACUUACCUGAGCCACUCUAAAGGUCAGCUUCUCAGGCUCGAUACCGGGAGUCACGCACUUGAACCGCUUCCAAACCCUGUCUGACAAGGAUAAUGAUUUGCUAAGUUUUUCAUUAAUUGAUAUAUCAGAAAAUCAUCGAAAGAGACCGAUAGAGCACAAGAAUGAUUGAAAUUACCCUUGGAGCAUGUCCUGCAGGCUUUGGAACUGUUCCAAGGGUCUCGAUAAUGGGUCGAAGGCAUCAACUCUUUCCUUAUCAAUUUGAAUGUCCAACAGAAUCCAAUGAAAGCUGCACAUGUAUAUAUAUAUAUGUCACUAACUUAUCAAUUACACUUAUAAGUGAAUGGACACAACAGAGUAAAGAACCUCACCUGAAGUUGUAUGGAAACAAUAUGUGGUCACAGAAAUUUUGAUCUGUUAGAAACCUUAGAAGGUUUUCCUCCGUCUCCUUGGGUUUAUCAGUUAGCGUCGCUAUAUGUAUUUUAUCUGGGUCAAUAAACCCAAUAUUUAUGAUGUUUUUUUUUACAAUCCAGAAUCUUCAUUCUGCAUAAUAGAGUACACGUUAUAUAUAGACAAUGAAUUGAAAUAACUAAAGAAGUUAUAUGUAGACAACAAAUUGAAAAACUUACAGACAAUAGCAACUCAUAAGCGAUUUGUCGAGGGCGUCGCCAUUGUACAUCUGGAAGAGUUCAUCAAAGUCGAUAUGGAUUUCUUCGGGGCGGCCGUAGUACUCCCGUGGGACACUCACCACGAUCAUCGUUCUCCCAUUCUUUGAUUCACUUAACUACCAUGUAUGCAAGUAACGCAUAUUUGUUGGGAGAUCAUCUUUGCUGACCAAAGGCGCUCCCAUGACAAACUGUGGCUUAGGGGCUACCACAGCCUUGGGUAACCUGUCGUCUUGGAAAGCCAGAACAUCUUCAACCGAGACACCCCAUUCAGCCGCCCACUUCUUUGCUAAUUCAAAAUCUUGCCCCUGCACCGGAGGGGGAACAUUCUCGGUUAACACCUUGAGGGGUGGGAUCGACUGUUUGGCCUGUUGUCCAUGCUGAGGAAUGUCAGAUUUUUUCUUGCUUGUAGUUGAACUUGAUUUGCUCCCACUUGCACUUGCACGUGAUCUGCUCUUUUUCACUUCCUUCUGCAAUGUGCGUGUAUAGUCAUCAGGCUUAUGGUGUAAGUCAUACUGUGAUGGAAGGUUCGUGAAGUAUUUUGCAAAUGCUAUUUGCUUCUCGGUGUAUUCCGGGCGGGGCUCGGGUUCCUUCUUUUUCAUCUGCGCAUCAUGAUGUUCCUUUGCUAUCCUGGCGUUUUCCUCGGGGGUACGAUCAUAAGGUCUGAUAGGAAGAUUAGCAUGAGGUACCUUUGGGAGGGGCGACCGUUUGCGCUUUGGGGGGCUCCGUCGCUUAGAAAUCGUCGGCGGAGCGUUCUUGGUGGCACGCUCCCGCUUAGUAUCCGGAGCGGGCGGCGGCGGAGACGGACGACCCAAGUCCGGCGGCGGUGAUCGGGAUGGACUCGUGUUGUGCUGGCCGACGUCAUGUGGAGGGCUUGGAGGUAAUGGAGGUGUAGGUGACUUGCGACGACUCGGAGGCGGUGUUGUCCUUGGGGCCGAGCCUGGAAGCUUGAUGUAGUUCUUGUUCCAUAGGAUGACUCCACCCAGUACUUCUCCAAGUGUCCUCUCAUCUUCGGGUCCAGCUAUGUCGAGCUACAUAUCAUGAAACCCCGUCAUUGAUUUCAUCCACCCCGACUUUAGCAAAGCCAGCUGGAAUCUCACGGCCAUGCCAGCGUGCAUCAGGGCCAGAAGGUAAAGCUUGUCCGACGGCCACCUUCAUGGAUAUAUUCUUGAAUUUCUGAUGGAGUUCACAUGAUGUUGACUCCUUGAUUCCAUCCACGGGGUAGCCGGGACCGCCCUCUAUCAUUCUUCGUGCAUCGUCGGGCAGGGCCUCUGAUUCAGCCACACUGCUUUUCCGCUUAGAUGGGGCGCCGGUAAUAUCAAGUGCAGGAUCUUCCUGGCGCGUUACUCCUCUAAGCUCAUCAAUCUGCUUCUGUUGCUCGUUAAUCCUGGCAAGCAACUGGUUGAACUUGUCAUUCUCCUCAUCCUGCUGCCGCUUCUUUGCUCUCUCUCGGCUUCUGUAAGUGUCUUGGUCUUUGGCAAACCCAAGCCACCACGGGUAAGAAGGACCGAAGCCUCGCGUUCGUCCUCCAUGUUCGUCAUUGCCGAGGACCAGUGUGAGCAAAUCUUUAUCUCUAUCUGCAGUGAACUUUCUUGUUCCCUCCUUAAUUUCUUUCACUAUCCUUUUCCAAUUCUCCGUGGGUAUCCUAAGACCGUCACUGCAGAUGAGGUCUCCUGUUUCUUCGUCGUACGAACCACCAUGCGCAAGGAACCAAUUUCUUGCUCUCAAUUCCCACUCAUCACGGAGUGGUUCAGGUACGAUGCCUUUAUCUAGCAGAUCUUGCUCUUUCUUAUCCCACUUUGGGAUGGCAGUCUCAUAGCCCCCUGGCCCCAGCUUGUGGUGAUAUUUCUUCUUGUCGGCAUUUAUCUUGUUCUUUUCUGAUAAUGCCUGGGCAUCUUGUGACUCCUUGUACUCUUGAAAUGCCUUCCAGUGAUUCGCCUGCUUGGCUAGAUACCCCUCGAAUACUGACAUUUUCUUUGUCUUCAGAUAGUUUUUCCAUAGCUUCUUCUUCCAGCUACAGAACAGUUCGACCAUCUUCUUUAGAGUCCACUGCUUGACUUUGGCCCUCAGUUUGUCUGCGGCGUCUUUAUUCUCACAUUCUGGCAGGUUGAAAUGUGACAUGAGAUCAUUCCAAAGAUUAUCUUUGUACCUUUCGGCGACAUAGUCACUAUCGGCUGCCCCUUUGCGCUUGUUCCACUCCCGAACGCUGAUCGGGACGUGAUCCCUAACGAGAACUCCGCAUUGCUUCUUGAAUGUGUCAGCAACAUUCUUAGGAAGCUUGGGUUCGCCCGUAGGCAAUAUCACCUCAAAGGUGUAAUGCGUCCGUGCAUCCAACUUUCUAGUCGGGCCUCGUUUCGUAGCUUUGCUCGAUGUGGAGGCCUAAGAGGGAGAAACAUUCGUCAAAUGAAUGUAUAUGUAUACAAUAUAGAGCUAUCUCCAAUAUUUUUCACAUAUUACAAGUGAUUGUCGAACUUCAUAUGUAUACCUCGCCGGAUUUUAUUAUUUCUUCACCGGCUUCUCCACCGGCUUCUCCAUCAGUGGAGCUAUCACCUUCUCCGUCAUUGGACCUAUCUCCUGCCCCAUCGGCUUCAUCUUCGUGUCGCUCGACCUCCAUUCCAUAUCCGGAGGGGUUUAGAUAUGACGACGAAGAUUCAGCUGGUUCAACGUCGGGGCCGUCUUUGAUUAUAUCUUCGAUAAGUUCUUCCUCUUCGAGGUUCCUGAUAUGUGGAUCCAUAGUUCUGCAAAAAACGGACAUUUGAUUAACUAAUAAACUAACAAACUAUAUAAGAGGGGUUGGAAACUUCGAAGUGUCAUUUUAUAUAGGAGGACCUUUAGUCCCGGGUCUUGGCUAGAACCUAAACUCUAAAAUACCAGCCGGACGGAGCCCAGUCCCGGACACUUAAGCAUAUACAAUAGCAAAAUUAAACUAGUUCUGUUAAUUUUCUUGCUAAAAAUAAACUAUUUACACUUAAGCAUAUACAAUAGCAAAAUUGAACAAUUAACACUUAAGCAUAUACAAUAGCAAAAUUAAGCAAUAAUCUAAGAAACACUAUUAACACUUAAGCAUAUACACUAUACAAUAGCAAAAUUAAAUGACAAAAAAAAUAUUUCUUCUUCUUGUAACCCUAAACUAAUUUUUCCUCUUCUUCUAUUUCGGGGGGGGGGCUACUUCUUCUUCUACUUCUACUUCUCCUCUUCUUCUACUACUUCUCAUCUUCUCUUCUUCUACUUCUCCUCUCCUCCUCUUCUAAUUUUUUCUCUUCUUCUACUUCUCCUCUUCUUCUAUUUUUCCUCUUCUUCUCCUCUCCUCCUCUUCUUAUUCUCCUUUUUCUUAUUUUCUUCUCCUCCUCUUCUUAUUUUCCUUUUUCCUAAUUCUACAUAUUACUAACCCUAAUAAUCUAGCACAAACCUAAUAACAAUAGGAAUUAAAUGAUAAAAAAAUCUUUNNNNNNNNNNNNNNNNNNNNNNNNNNNNNNNNNNNNNNNNNNNNNNNNNNNNNNNNNNNNNNCUCCUUUUUCUUCCUUUCUUCUCCUUUUUCUUCUUUUCUUCUACUGGACGGAGUGUUGGGGAGGAGGGGGCGGGGGGCUUACCGGCCGGAGGUGUCGACGGCGCGCGGCGAGGAGGACGGCAGGCGGCGGCAAGCAGGACGGCGGGCAGCCUGCCGGCGUCGUCGAGUUCGUCGCUGUGCCGCGCCGGGCAGGAGAACGAGGAAGAAGGAGAGAAGGAAAUGCGAUUUGGGUUGGAAAUUUUCUAACUCCCGCUAAUAUAGGUGGAUCUUUAGUCUCGGUUCGGGGCUCAAUCCGGGACUAAAGACCCCCUUUAGUCCCGGGUGGAGCCACGACCUGGGACUAAAGGCCCUUUUUUGGCAGACCAAAAGGCGGGAAGCAGGGGCCUUUAGUCCCGGGUCGGGGCUCGAGCCGGGACUAAAGACACCCUUUAGUCCCGGUUUGUGGCAAGAACCUGGACUAAAGGUUAAGCUAUUAGUCCCGGUUUUAGACAAAAGCCGGGACUAAAGUGUUGCCUAUAUAAACCCUCUCCCCUGCCCACCCUCUCCCCUAUUUUUUGGUUGUUGAAGUGUGACCAUGCCAUGCUCUUGCCACUCUAGUUCAUGCACAUGACGUGUUCGAUGAAAUGCCCGAGCCACUCUACUUAAGCUUUCUCCUCUCCAAGCUCGACCUCCAAGCUCCAUUUUCCUUAAUAUUUGUCUAGGUUUGGCCGUGCACCAACUGCACAAGUGUUUUAAAAGGUUAGGUACUUCAUCCUUUCAUUUGUCACUGCUAGUGUAGCUCAUUUCAAAUGCUGAAAUUAACUUCUUAGAGUCUGCACAUGCGUAGGGUGUCGUCCCGUGCCCGUCCUCACCAUUGUCGAUCGCCCCGUGCCGAUCUCGUCGCGAGCACCACCGUGGUGAGCCUCUUGUUCUUAUCUUCUUUUUAAAAGAAAAAAAUCUUACUUGUAUGAUUUAGAUACAUACUUGUAUAAAUUACUCACUUUCAUUAUUUUUUGUUAUUAUAUAGUGCGAUGGUUUUGGUAUCCGCCUCCGUCAGCCCUCGUCCUGUCUAUGAUUCGGAUGUGGUAUAUAUUAUCUUUUAUAACUAUUUGUUUUAUUUAGUGUUUAUGACAAUUAUGACGACCAACGUGACAUAUAUUUUUUAAUCUAGGAGGUAUGUGAACCGGAAAUUCCAACCAACAUAGAAAUUCUUGUCGAGAAGUUAAAUUUGGUUGAAAAAGAAAAUAAAUACUUGAAGAAAAAAUUUAAAAUAAUUUCACCCACAUAGCAUGUGUUAAAAAGUUGAGAGGGCUACGACAAAAACUGGAUGCACUUCGUGUACAAAACGGACAAUCUCUCUCGAAGUAUCAGGGUUUCGAACGAGAACUCAUCUCUUACAAAGGGAUUUCAUUUUUUUGAACUUAUUUGAACUCCAUACUUUUUGUGUGUUCAAAAUGCACCAUUCAAAGGCACAUCACAAAAUUUCAACAAUUUCUGAUUUCAUUUGGUAUUCUUCGUGCAUUUACUUAUAUUUUUUGAGCUAGUUGACCCUGAAAUUGAAAAGCACUACAAAUGAACUCUGAAAAUGUUGAAAGUUGGAAUGCUAUCAUCAUUUCACCCACAUAGAAUGUGUUAAAAAGUUGAGAGGGCUACGACAAAAACUGGAUGCACUUCAUGUACAAAACGGACAAUCUCUCUCGAAGUAUCAUCGUUUCGAACGAGAACUCAUCUCUUACAAAGGGAUUUCAUUUUUUUGAACUUAUUUGAACUCCAUACUUUUUGUGUGUUCAAAAUGCACCAUUCAAAGGCACAUCACAAAAUUUCAACAAUUUCUGACUUCAUUUGGUAUUCUUCGUGCAUUUACUUAAUUUUUUUUGAGCUAGUUGACCCUGAAAUUGAAAAGCACUACAAAUGAACUCUGAAAAUGUUGAAAGUUGGCAUGCUAUCAUCAUUUCACCCACAUAGCAUGUGUUAAAAAGUUGAGAGGGCUACGACAAAACUGGAUGCACUUCAUGUACAAAACGGACAAUCUCUCUCGAAGUAUCAGCGUUUCGAACGAGAACUCAUCUCUUACAAAGGGAUUUAAUUUUUUGAACUUAUUUGAAUUCCAUACUUUUUGUGUGUUCAAAAUGCACCAUUCAAAGGCACAUCACAAAAUUUCAACAAUUUCUGACUUCAUUUGGUAUUCUUCGUGCAUUUACUUAUUUUUUUUGAGCUAGUUGACUCUGAAAUUGAAAAGCACUACAAAUGAACUCUGGAAAUGUUGAAAGUUGGCAUGCUAUCAUCAUUUCACCCACAUAGCAUGUGUUAAAAAGUUGAGAGGACUACGACAAAAACUGGAUGCACUUUGUGUACAAAACGGACAAUCUCUCUCAAAGUAUCAGGGUUUCGAACGAGAACUCAUCUCUUACAAAGGUUUAUUAAAAUUAUUUUUGCGUAUUUGAGAAUUUGAAAAAACUAUGAAAAUCAAAAGUGUUUGGAAUUUAGUACAUUCCAUAUAUGCAUUACAUAAAAGGUUUAAUACAUUAUUACAUUAUUGCACCAAUAUUCCUAUCUUUUAUUUCUGUUUUCUUCUGGGUUGUAGCCAUGGAGAAUCUUCAUCAUUCAGUAGGAUGCUUGGGUCAGUUUUCACUUUGAAGGGCGGAAUUUCAUGAAACUUAUUAUAAUCUUCUGACAUGUCUGUCUUGUCAUCUACUCCCACGAUGUUUCUUUUCCCUGAAAGAACUAUGUGGCGUUUUGGCUUAUCGGACGAUAUCUUCUUUUGCUGGUUUCUUUUUCUCGUUUUUGUAGACAUGUCCUUCACAUAGAAAACCUGAGCGACAUCAUUGGCUAGGACAAAUGGUUCGCCCAUGUACGCAAGAUUGUUGAGAUCCACUGUUGUCAUGUCAUACUUUUGGUCUACAACUACUCCGCCUCCUGUCAGCUUCACCCAUUUGCACCGAAACAAAGGGAUCUUAAAAGUAGGUCCAUAGUCAAGUUCUCAUAUCUCCUCUAUGUACCCGUAAUAUGUUUCCAAACAGUGCCCAUUCUCGUCUGUUGCAUCAAAGCGGACACCACUAUUUUGAUUGGUGCUCUUUUUAUCUUGGGCAACCGUGUAAAAUUUAUUCCCAUUUAUCUCAUACCCUUGGAAAGUACAUAUAGUCGAAGAUGGUGGCCUGGCCAAACAGUACAACUGAUCUCCAACGGUGUCGUCAUUCAUGAGAUGUGUCUGCAACCAACUGCCGAAAGUCUUCUCGUGUUCCCCUUUAAUCCAAGAGUCAGCCUUCCCCGGGUUUUCGGAGCGUAGAAUAUUCUUGUGUCUCACGAUAUACGGAGCCACCAUGGUGGAAUUGUGUAGAGCUGUGUAGUGUGCUUGAGAGAAAGAAUGCCCAUCCAUACAUACUUUUGCUUUCCUUCCUAGUGUGCCUUUUCCUGUCAGCCUACCCUCAUACCGAGAUUCAGGAACACCAAUCGACUUAAGGUUAGGAAGAAAGUCCACACAAAACUCAAUGACCUCCUCUGUUCCAUAGCCCUUGGAGAUGCUUCCUUCUGGCCUAGCACGGUUACGAACAUAUUUCUUUAAGACUCCCAUGAACCUCUCGAAGGGAAAAUAUUGUGUAGAAACACAGGACCGAGAAUUCUAAUCUCUUCGACUAGGUGAACUAGGAGGUGUGUCAUUAUAUUGAAGAAGGAUGGCGGGAACAACAACUCAAAGCUGACCAGACAUUGGACCACAUCAAUCUGUAACCCUGAUAGACUUUCUCGAUCGAUUACCUUCUGAGAAAUUGCAUUGAGGAAUGCACAUACCUUCACAAUUGCCAGGCGAACAUUUUCCGGUAGAAUUCCCCUCAAUGCAACCGGAAGCAAUUGCGUCAUAAGCACGUGGCAGUCAUGAGACUUUAGGUUUUGGAAUUUUUUGUCUUUCAUAUUUACGAUUUCCUUUAUAUUCGACGAGAAGCCAGUCGGGACCUUGAUACUGAAAAGGACUUCAAAGAAGAUUUCCUUCUCUUCCUUAGUAAGAGCGUAGCUGGCACGCCCUUGAAACUGCCCUGGAUGCAUGCCAUCUCUUCCUUUAUGACGUUCCUGGUCCUCCCGUGCUCCCGGUGUAUCUUUUGACUUCCCAUACAAGCCCAGGAAGCCUAGAAUAUUCACGCAGAGAUUCUUCGUCAGGUGCAUCACGUCGAUUGCCGAGCGGACCUCAUGGACUUCCCAGUAGGGUAGCUCCCAAAAUAUAGAUUUCUUCUUCCACAUGGGUACGCGCUUCUCAGGGCCGUUAGGAACAGUUUGGCUGCCAGGACCCUUUCCAAAGAUUACUUUUAAAUCUUUGACCAUAUCUAAUACUUCAGCACCAGUACGGAUGACAGGCUUCCCCCGGGGUUCUGCCUUGCCAUUGAAAUGUUUGCCUUUUUUCUUUAAGGGAUGCUUGGGCGGAAGAAAACGACGAUUGUACGGGUAUACAUUCUUCCUACAUUUGUCCAGAUAUAUACUUUCUGUCUGAUCCAAAUAGUGCGUGCAUGCAUUGUAUCCCUUGUUUGACUGUCCUGAAAUGUUACUAAGAGCAGGCCAAUCAUUGAUGGUUACGAAAAGCAACGCUCGAAGGUCAAAUUCCUCUUGUUUGUGCUCGUCCCACACACGUACUACACCUGGUUCGGCCCACAGCUGUAAAAGUUCAUCAACUAAUGGCCUUAGGUACACAUCAAUAUCGUUGCCGGGUUGCUUUGGACCUUGGAUAAGCACUGGCAUCAUAAUGAACUUCCGCUUCAUGCACAACCAAGGAGGAAGGUUGUAGAUACAUAGAGUAACGGGCCAGGUGCUGUGACUGCAACUCUGCUCCCCAAAAGGAUUCAUGCCAUCUGUACUCAGACCUAACCAUAAGUUCCUUGCGUCAGCUGCAAAUCUCGGGAAGUCUCUCUCGAUUUUUGUCCACUGCCGACCAUCAGCGGUGUGCCUCAACUUAUCGUCUUUCAUACGAUCUUCCAUGUGCCAUCGCAACAACUUCGCAUGAUCUUUAUUUCUGAACAGACGUUUCAACCGUGGUAUUAUAGGAGCAUACCACAUCACCUUGGCAGGAACUCUCUUCCUGGGUGGCUCGCCCUCAAUAUCACCAGGGUCAUCUUUUCUGAUCUUAUACCGCAAUGCAGUGCAUACCGGGCAUUUAUCCAUAUUCUCGUACUUCUCACCGCGGUAGAGGAUGCAGUCAUUAGGGCAUGCAUGUAUCUUCUGCACGUCUAAUCCUAGAGGGCAGACAAGCUUCUUUGCUUCGUACGUGCUGGCGGGCAAUUCGUUCUUUCUUGAAUGCAUCUUCUUCAUCAGUACCAGCAACUUUUCGAAUGACGAGUCAGUCACACCAGUCUCUGCCUUCCACUUCAGCAAUUCCAAUGUGCUACCCAGCUUCUUCUGGCCAUCUUCACAAGUUGGGUACAACAAUUUGUUGUGGUCCUGUAACAUCUGCUCGAACUGCAACCUCUCCUUUUCUGUGUCGCACCCUCGCCGUGCAUCAGAAAUGACCGGGCCAAGAUCAUCAGCGGGCUCAUCUGGUUCCCGUUCUUCAUCCUGAUCUUCUUCUUCAUUGUCUUCCAUUGCAGUAUCAGCAUACUCAGGGAACAUAGAUCGGUAGUUGUCAUCAUCGUUCUCUUCUUCUUCAUCGUCGUCUUCCAUCAUAACCCCUCUUUCUCCGUGCUUGGUCCAAACAUUAUAGCCCGACAUAAAACCAGACCGAAGCAGGUGGCUCUGAAUAACUCUUGAGGAAGUGUAAUCCUUCUCAUUUCGACAUUCAACACAUGGACAAAACAUAUAUCCACCACCAUGCUUGUUCGCAUCGGCUGCAUCUCGAAAAGAAUGCACGCCUUCUCUCUAAGCGGCUGUGCGUCGAUCACCGUACAUCCAUGGAUGGCUCAUCUGUGUUAUACGACAGUAUAUCAAAUACAAACACGAUCCUAAAAAUUAGUACCGCACGAUCUAAACGAGGAAAUAUAGUUGCUAAUCUUUUAGAAUAAGUAGAAAUAAAGAGGAAGAGGUUUAAGCGUGGCUCAGACAUCUCAUAUCGUAGUUGUGUUCGGUGAACUGAAGUGGCAUCGCUCUAACACACAUUUCAACAAACACCUCUAGUGCAUCAAAAAAAGUGAAGAGCUAGCACCCACCCACAAUCCUCCAUCCAAGAAAAAUGCAAGGAAGAGGGGAGAGGGGGGCUGUGCUAUAUAUAGGCAGAGGACUUUAGUCCCGGUUUGAGACACGAACCGGGACUAAAGGUGGCGCACAUGCGGGCUGCCCACCGCGUAGCUCUUUAGUCCUGAUUUGGGAGACGAACCGGGACUAAAGGCUCCUUACGGGCCGGGACUAAAACCUCGAGGGAGGCAUUGAAAAUUGAGACGACGUGGCCGGGCCUAAAGGGUCCCGGCCAAAGGCCCGUUUUCCUGCGACAGUGAAGUUACUUUAUUUUACCGAGACACAUUGUUUGAUUCUCGGCAAAUAGUUUGCCAAAUGUCCGUCAGUUGGUUCCUGGCAAAGUUUUGUUUGCCUCAGAGGUGUACGCGUGUACUCUUUGUUCAUAGCAAUGCUCGGCAAAGGCUUUGCCGAGUUUAUUUGGUCCUUUGCCGAGUAUUUCUAGCACUCAGCAUACACUACUAGAAUCUUGAAUUUCGUCGAGUUCUAAAUGUUUGCCGAGUUUCUUUUGCCAGGGAACUAGGCAAAGAAAUCUUUGCUGAGUUUUUUUUUGUACCGGGCAAAGAAAUCUUUGCCGAGUUUAUUUUUUAUUUGCGCCGGGCAAAGAAAUCUUUGUCGAGUUUCUUUUCUUUUAGCAGUGGGCAAAGAAAUCUUUGCCGACUUUAUUUUUGUUGCACUCGGCAAACAUCUAUUUUUUGUUUUUAAAUUUCCUUGUCCUUUCUCUUUGUCGAGUGCUUUGUUUAUUGCACAGAUUGAAUACUUAUUUUUAUUUUUUGUUUUCCUCUCCUUUCUCUUGUGUCUUUUCUUUUGUACAUUAUUUGCUUUACUUUUCCCUUUUAUAAUUUGUUCUCCUCUGUGUUAUUUAUUCUUAAUUUUAAUUUUCUAUUUCUUCCCCUUUCUCUAUUUCCUUUUCGAAUGGAUUUUCUAGGCAUUAAACAUUUUAGUGAAUAAAAAACAAUAUACGCAUUGUAAGUGCAUGAAAAAGUUGGCCCCAUACAAGAAAAAUUGUAAUAUUGACUAAUAUGAUACCUACAAUAUGUUGUAAAAGUUGAGAAAACGAAAUUGUAAGCCAUUUCUAGUUUUUUAACGGAUAUAAUACAAAUUUGAACUGCAAGUGCGUGAAAAAGUUGACAAAGUUGGGUAAAUAAUAAUAAUAAUUGUGUUCUUGGGUCCAUGUUUAACAUUUAUACAAGAAAUCGAAAGGACUUCUAAACAUGAGGAUGCCAAUACUUGUUCCCGAACGUGGAGUUUUUCGGUUAAUAAAUUCCAGAAAAUGCUAAUGAAGUCCAUAAAGCAUGAAUUUUGGCAUGGCGCCCUCAUAUCACAACUACAAGUUGAUGUAGAAAUUUGAGAAGGUUUCAGAAAAGUUGUGAUGUACAUCACUUAGAAACCAGAUAAUCUCAAAGGAAGAAACAUGAUUUUGGUAGGGAACGAGUGAGGUUUGAAGGCAAAGCUGCCGUUGCUUCAUCCGUUAGGCUUGAAUUUUUUGUGCACCAUUCAUGUAUUUGUUUUUGAAUAUUUAUGAGUCUGUUUGCUAUAUUUAACCCAUUAGAUGCAUUUCUAAACCUUUAACAAAUUUAAUUCAAAUUUGAACUGUAAGUGCCUGAAAAAGUCGAAUAGGUUGGGUUAAAAAAUCAUAAUUGUGUUCUUGAGUCCAUGUUUAAGUUUUAUACAAGCAAACAAAACGACUUCUAAACAUGAGGAUGCCAAUACUUGCUCCCUAACGUGGAGUUUUCCGGUUAAUAAAUUCCAUAAAAUUCAAAGGAACUCCGGAAAGCAUGAAAAUUGGCAUGGCGCCCUCAUAUGACAACUACAUGUUGUGGUAAAAAAUUGAGAAGGUUUCAUAAAAGUUGGGAUGUAAAUCGCUUAGAAACCAGACAAUCUCUAAGGAAGAAACAGGGUUUCGAUUGGGGACGGGCGAGGUUUUGAGGCGAAGCGACCGUUGCUUCAUCUGUUGGUCUUGAAAUUUUCAUGCACCCAAGAUACACCACUAUUUGAUAUAUGUAAUGUUUUAUAAUUAUUAUGAGUCUGUUUGCUAUAUUUAACCCAUUAAAUGCAAUUCUAAACCAUUAAAAAUAUAAUUCAAAUUUGAAUUGUAAGUGUGUUAGAAAGUUGAAAACGUUGGGUUGAAAAAUCAUAAUUUUGUUCUUCGUCUAUAUUCAGGCCUUACGCAAGAAAAUAAAAUCCAAACAUGAGGGGGCCAAGAAUCGAUUGAAAAGGGUGAAUUUUUUUGUUAUUAAAUUCUAAAAAAUGCAAAAGAAUUCCGAAAAGCAUGAAAAUUGGCAUGAUGCCCUUAUAUGGCACCUACAAUGGUGUGGUAAAAAAUUGAAAAAGUUUCGCAAAAUAUUUACAAGGGUAAAGGGCACACUUUUGUGAUAAAGAAAGCCCACAAUCUGUGCUUUUUCCCUACUGGAUAGGAGGAAAUUGCACGGAUCGUUGACAUGGCGUCAAUCUGCACUGUUAAACACUCAGAGAUCGAACGGUCUAUGGCGCCUCCCCUCGCUCCUUCCCUCCCUCUCUUAUCUUCUUAUCCCCUCGUCCUCUCUCUGGUGGUGGUGGGUGGCUACCGGCUCCCUCUCCCUCUCGAGGCUGACCAGCUCUGAUAGUCAAAACACGAGGGGCGCACAGUCAAGGCACAUGUUCAUGACAAAGUACCCCCCGUGUGUUUACUUCUUCAAUUCUAUAACUAACUUAUGGACCUUUUACUGGUCAACCAUAUUGGAAAGGAAAAUGAAGUGCAGGGGUCAUGCUGAUCAGGCAAUGUUCGAGGUGUCAAUUUUUAUGACCUGUCCAUGAAAAAGACAAGAAAACAGAUGGAUACACCUGUGGCUGUGGUGACCGAUUGGUGUACUUAACGGGAGCGCCUGUGGCUGUGAGGCAUAUCACCACACUAACUUGACUACGUAUGGUCAAGUGUACUCUAUUAAUUUAUGUAUUCAAUUGUACACAAUAUUUGACUUUAUGGAGCUUUGACUGGAAAACUGAUGUGCAGGCUGAUCUACAGGCAAUCUUCGAGUUGUCAAAUUUUAUGCCACACUAAAAUGAUGGUGAUUUGCGCCUAUAUAUAGAAUAUGUGUUCGUGAGUCUUAUCCCACACUAAAAGGCAUUUCUAUUUUUGCCUGAGGCAAAACUGCAAGCAAACCUGAUGGUUAUGGUGAUGGAGCCAAGCGCAUCCACCCUCGUGCUCCUCACUCUCGCCUCACUUGUGAUCCUUGCGUCGGUACUGAGCCGCAAACGGAAAAACCAUAGGCGGCCUCCAGGCCCAUGGCGCCUCCCCUUGAUCGGAAGCCUCCACCACGUCCUCACGUCGCAGCCGCAGGUCGCCCUCCGGGACCUGGCCAAGAAGCACGGCCCGGUCAUGUACCUCCGGUUCGGCCAGAUGGACACCGUCGUCGUCUCCUCGCCUGCCGCGGCGCAGGAGGUGCUCCGGGACAAGGACCUCUCAUUCGCGUCGAGGCCCAACAUCCUGGUCUCACAGAUCUUUUGCUACGGGGGCCGUAACGUCAUCCUCGCGCCCUACGGCCCCUACUGGCGGAUGACGCGCAAGCUCUGCACGGUUGAGCUCCUGAGCGAACGCAAGGUGCGGCAGUUCGCGCCCUUCAGAGACAGCGAGACCAUGUCCCUUGUCGAGAACGUCCGCGCCGCCGGUCGGGGCGGCGCGCCAUUGAACCUUGGCAAGCUACUCAUUUCCUGCACCAACACUAUCACCGCCAAGGCUACGUUCGGCCAGGUGUGCGACGAGGAGCUCCAGGAUCGCUUCAUGGCCGUGACCGGCCUGGCGAUCAAGGUCGCCGGCGGAUCCAGCGUCGGGGACCUGGUCCCGUCGCUGUGGUUCGUCGACGCCCUCACUGGGCUGAGAGGCCGUCUGUGGCGUGCGCGCCGGCAGCUGGAUGCCAUCCUGGACAAGAUCAUCGCUGAUGAAUGCAGGGAGGGGCAGCGAGGUGACCACCUUCUCGGAGUACUGCUUAGGAUCAAGGAUGAGGGGAACCUUGAAUUCCCCAUCGACAUGACAAACAUCAAGGCGAUCAUAUUGGUACGUGUCAAGCUUCAUGCACUAACCAACGUAAUAAAAGUCUAAAUAGAUUGAAAGUGCUAGACAAUCCAUGAUAUACACUCCAACAAUAUGAUACUAAAUAGAUCUAGUUUCUUUUAUCCGAGAGUAACUUAAUUUUCAUUUUUGUUCAUGCCCCUUCAGGAUAUGUUCACGGCAGGGACGGAGACGACGUCGGCAGUGGCCGAGUGGGUCAUGGCCGAACUCAUGAGGAACCCAAAGGUGAUGGCCAAGGCGCAGGCUGAAGUGCGUCAUACCUUGGACACCAAGAACCCUAUAGACCAUGAAGAAUACAUAGAUGAUCUGCACUACACCAAAAUGGUGAUCAAGGAGACCAUGAGGUUAAACCCUGUGGUGCCGUUGCUUGUCCCUCAUCUCUGUCAGGAAACCUGCGAUGUUGGCGGAUUUGAGGUCAAGGAGGGCACCAGGGUCUUGGUCAAUGCAUGGGCGAUGGCGAGAAGCCCCGAGUACUGGGAAAACGCAGAGGAGUUCAUGCCGGAGAGGUUCGAGGACGGCACGGCCACCUACAAGGGCUCGCGGUUCGAGUACUUGCCGUUCGGCACUGGAAGGAGGAAGUGCCCCGGCGAUACCUUUGGGCUGGCCACACUGGAGCUCGCGGUGACACGGCUCCUCUACUAUUUUGAUUGGAGCCUCCCUGCCGGAACACGGGUAGAUGAGCUCGACAUGGAAACAAGCGUGGGGUUAGCCGCGAGGAGGAAGAACCAGCUGCACCUAGUGGCGACCCCUUAUAAGGGUGCUUGCUAGGCAAAUACUAUCUAUGUGCUCUCUUAUGUUCUUUUCCGUACAAAAAAAAUCACCGUGGAGUUUUUUUUCCCAAGAAAUAACCACUGUGAAGUGUAUUUGUAAAUUAAGUUCAUAACCUCUUUAUGCCUGCACAUGGACGGGUGAAUAGCUCAUGUGUGAAGUUUUUGAUGCGAAUUGGAAAGAAUGAAAC
rnacentral:lncRNA from 1 species